UAUCAUAUAUGCACUACUGGUGUUAAAAUUAAAAAUUCCUGCAGGGGAGGAACAACAAGAGACAUCUGCCUUUUCAGCAGCAGCACAACAAACGACACCUACCUAUUCUUCCUCGGUCAAUCUCGAAACGAAGUACAUACAUUACUAUGAUCAAAGUCUUCAUGGUGGGGAUUGAUAGAAGCCCUGGAGAAGAAGAGGCCCUCUGUCUGUGCCUCUCCAUUCUUUCUUAACCAUUAAUCAAGGGGAUGAUGAUCCUGGCCGAUGCCGCUGGCACCUGUUACAUCUGCGACCCAUAAGGUGCGAGCGUGCUGCUGCGCAGGCUCACGCCGGCGCCUCUUAGCGAAACAGCAGGGCCCCUGUGGGUGCUCGCCCUGCUUACGAGGCUCGAGUCGAGGUAGAGUAUGAUGACCGUUAUGUCAUCAUGGAAGUGGCGACGGACACCUCGGUCGAUCUUCUUGAGAUCGGAAUACCUCAUCUCUCUUUUCUUGGCUGCUUCUAGCAAGGCUGAUUUUAUGAGCCUCCUAGCGCUCCCCUGCAAAAUCAAACAGAGCAUGAGCCAUUAAGUCUCCAAUUAGCACUGGGCCUAGCAAAAACAAGGUAAACGUAAUUCUGACACAAAGCUUCUGCCAUAGUAGUGAUCAAUUUUAACCCACUGCUUCACAGCCAAAAAUUAUCAAGGAUUCUAUUUUCUAUACAAGCCAUGCCACGUCAACAUUCAGCUGACGGCGUGAUCACUGGAUUUUAAAUGCAUACAUGCCAUGGUAAUGUGCAGUUUGUAGUUGAAAAGUAGAGAACCAUCCAUAAAGUAGAGAACCAUCAUGUCUCUAUUUUACAACAUCAAUUCUAUAUGCAAAUUGUUAUUCUCAAAUAUCAAUUUUGCAUUCAGAGAAGCCUUAUUAUUGUUUCAUAAAUGAAAAUCAGGGCAAGUAACCCAUGCUCCAUAUGCUGGGUAAUGAAUCAGCAUUUUGUAAUAGUGGCAUGUUAAUUCUGAGUUUGUAAAUAACUAGAAAUCUAAUGUGGAAUAUGAAACCAUAAUGUCAUGCACAGUUGUACUAGAAUACGCCAAACAUUAUGGAAGUAUAUUUGUCAGGUCAACUUAUUUACAUGGGAAUGAGAAACUUACACUACGAGGGCUACUUUGAACAAUGUCAACAGCCUCCUGGUUGGUUAAGUGCUCCCAAAGUCCAUCAGAUGCAAAUAUGAGAAACUCAUCAUGUGGCUGUAUAGGUUGAACGCAAAUAGAUGGUUCUGAACUUAGUAUGGGCCUGUUAAAAGGUUCACGAAGACGGAAUUUUGCAUACAGAGGUUCCCGAUUGAACUCUUGUUUUUUCAGAUAGGCAUCACCGAUCGAUCUGCAGACCUGCAACAUACAACAAGCAAAGAAAAUCUUCAUUUGGUCCCACGGUAAAAAGAAACAUAAUCGGCAAGUACCAUCAUAUAUCUGUUACUCAUAGUCAUACAAGACAAACUCAGCGACACAUUUCUGCAUGUCCUAUCAUGAAGUGAUGAAUCAGUGGGGCUUAAGAACAUUUUUUAACAAAUGGUUAAACCGAUUGAAGAAACUAACCGAACUGAGCCAUAAUAAUAUUUCUUGAGUAGUAACUAUCCAUCCCAUGAGAAAUAAGUCUACUAAGUAAAAGAUGAUACGGGCACUAGCAAUGCAAAACCCCAAAUUGUUAUUAAGCUCUCCGCUUCAGCGCUACCUAAUAAAUAUAGCAGUAUUGUCAUAAUCAUUGAUCACAUCAAGAGGCUAAUUGUCAUCCACAAGCAUAAGAAUAUGUUUGUUGCGUUUCUACCCCCUUACAGCCCUACGGCCUAUACCACUUGGUUUUGUCUGUAUCUUGGACAAAAACAAGAAUGAGGUUAUUCACUAAAAUACCAUUCAGAGUAAGACACAAGAUUAAACUUCCAGGUGGUAAAAUUGAAUGUAUAUUUUGCCAACUGAAUGUGCAUAAGCAUAUGAAAUGACCAUUAUAUCGAACUUCCACGAAUCUACAAAUGUCUCCCCAGUGGCAGAAGACGCACCUGAAUUAGGCCUUUUACACGCCAAACACUGUGCUUGAGAACAACAACAUGCCUAUCUUCAGGGUGCAUUGACUGCAAUUCUUUUCUCACUGACUCAAUGCUGACAUUAUGUUCUGCUGACAGUUGGACAGCCAACACUUCUCCAGUGGCUUUAACAUGUUUUCCUAAAACAGCACGAGAAUCCCCAACAUUCGCAACAUAAAGCAUGCCACCACAGAUAACACCAACCAGACAGCAUGAGCCAACAGCCGCUAUUUGAGGCUUGACAGGCCAUUGCUUGGUGACGAUAGAGAAGAAUCCAUCUUCUGUAGCUUCAUAUGCUUUCUUCAGUACAUCAGCAGACAUUGCAUUCUGUUCCGAAGCGAACCCUGCAAUACAAACCAGGGAAGAAGUAAAUAAUCACUGCAGUGUUCUUUAUCAGGCAAGUGAAACAGGGCAGUGUGGACAGAGCACCAAAGAAUGAGCAUAAUACUAAUGCAUAGUGAUCCCAGGUUAGAAAUUACUUUUAAGAUGGUUGAAGAGGUUAUCGUUGAUGUAGCAAGCUGUCUCUGGUCCACCGUGCCCAUCGUAAACCCCGACGAAAGUGCCGUAUGGACCAGAGUCGAGAAAGCUCAACGGACCCGACUCAAUCUGACACUGGUCCUCAAGUAGGUUAUUGGCCUGGACAACAGCCAUGGAGAAGUCGCCAUUUACAUGCUCCCCAGUGUCCUUGUACCAUAGAAGUCCAUCCUGCCUACCGGUAGCAUCUGAGCCUGUCCGGGCAUGCCGGUUGGAUGAAGGUCUCCAACACGCCCGUAGAAAGUUCAUCAAUGUCACUAUCAUCCCUCAUCAGUCAUCCCACCCACGUACGCCUCCGAGCUCGCCUCAUCUGUUAUCUAAGAAAAUUGCAGUGUCACUUCUCAAUGCACCAACAGAACUCUUGCCUUUAUCCUGGAAAGAAAAAGAAACAUGUAUAAGUAUGUGAAACACAAGUAUGGCUCAUUAAUAGUACUCAACGCUUAUCACUUGCACUCGGACAGGGGCACAAUUAAAAAAAAUCAAAAUUUAUCUAUCCUUCCUUUGUUUUUUUCAAUCCAUCCAGGAGAGCUGCAUGCAUUUCUUCAGUAAUAAGUACACACUUUGUCUACCAUGUAACAUUGAAUACAAAUUCAGCAUAGUUGCUCUGUCUACAACUGAAAAGGGUCUGAGGAAUCUCCUUUGUCGUAAGUUUAUAGUACAAGCAGAUGUAGGGAAAACAAAUCAAAUUGCCUUGCUUGGUGCUUUUAGGUUCUAUGGUUCUAGUAGAAGCAACCUGGUACUGGGUAACCUACACCAUCACUGUUUUUCAUUGCAAAAGAGACAAAUGUAUAGCAUAAUAUAAUGCCUAAAUAAUGCAGCAAAAGACACAAUCGUGUCUCUGUUUGACACAAUCGAGGGCGAACAUUUCCGAUCAUACACUCAAAACAUCUAUGGCAACUCACUUACAGAAACUCAGCAAACCUAAGAUUUUACUCGAAACAUAGGCCGCAGCAAAACCUUUCCCAUCAUACAUCAAACAUCUAUGGUAACUCACUUAUAGCAACUCAUCAAACCUAAGAUUUUACAUGAAACAUAGGCUGCAACAAAACAUUUCCAAUCAUACGCUCGGAACACCUACGGCAACUCACUUAUAGCAACUCACUAAACCUAAGAUUUUGCUUGAAAACAUACGCCGGGGCAAAACAUUUUUUAAAUACUUUCACAAUCAGUUAGGAACCAAGCCUAUUCCCCAACAACUCAAUUACCCAAAACCUCAUCUACUCCCACAAACUGCAAAACUCUCUCACUCCUCAUCCUUGGCAUCACAGACUGACACUAUAGUGACCAUCAAAUGGGCAGCUACUGCAUACAACUGUGAACCAUGAUUCAGACGCCAAUUUCCCCAAAAAUCCUCCACUGGGAGCAUCUCCUAAGCACCAAAUCGAGACGAGACCCGAGCGCGGAUAGUAUCAGACCUCCCAAUCGCCACGAAACUUGGGGACAAACGGGCGCGCUGGUUGAUUGGGAUCAAGGCAGAANNNNNNNNNNNNNNNNNNNNNNNNNNNNNNNNNNNNNNNNNNNNNNNNNNNNNNNNNNNNNNNNNNNNNNNNNNNNNNNNNNNNNNNNNNNNNNNNNNNNNNNNNNNNNNNNNNNNNNNNNNNNNNNNNNNNNNNNNNNNNNNNNNNNNNNNNNNNNNNNNNNNNNNNNNNNNNNNNNNNNNNNNNNNNNNNNNNNNNNNNNNNNNNNNNNNNNNNNNNNNNNNNNNNNNNNNNNNNNNNNNNNNNNNNNNNNNNNNNNNNNNNNNNNNNNNNNNNNNNNNNNNNNNNNNNNNNNNNNNNNNNNNNNNNNNNNNNNNNNNNNNNNNNNNNNNNNNNNNNNNNNNNNNNNNNNNNNNNNNNNNNNNNNNNNNNNNNNNNNNNNNNNNNNNNNNNNNNNNNNNNNNNNNNNNNNNNNNNNNNNNNNNNNNNNNNNNNNNNNNNNNNNNNNNNNNNNNNNNNNNNNNCAGUUGUGGUAGAGAUAAGGGGAAAGAAAAGAACUUGGAGGGUACACACACCAGUAGGUACGGCGCAAGCGGAUCGGGUCGUGGCUUGUGCCCGCGCAGGCACGGCGAAGGGACUUCUCUCCGUCCUCUCCACCGGCGCCGGGGACGGACGAAGGUCGGCGGAGGGUGGUGGCGAGCGGCGGCGGCGGCAGCACGAGAAGGGGAUGAGGCGGGGAAAGGGGGUGGGGUGGGGCCGUGGGGGGAGUGCGGGCGCGCUGCAACGGCCGUUUGAUGACGUGUGGGGCUCGGACACGGACGCGAUAGAUAAGGCGGAAAAGCGCGCGCAGGCCCUCGAUGAAGAUCGUAUUCGCUGAUCGGUCCCCGUGACACGUCAACACCAAUAACGGAAAAUAUCUAUCCAGCAAAAGGUAAAAAGCACGAGGUCAAAACUCAUCGGCGAAAUGGACCCAAUGAUGAAGAUUUUGAUUGUUAUUCCAAGUUCUAGCUUCAAGAAUAAAAGCUGUUUUUUUGUCUCUUUUCUUUUUCGCUCUCGUGAUGUGGCUAUCGCAGAUCUUUCUUUUCAUCGAUCUCCGUCGACGAGCCUUAGGAUAGGAUUCGCCUCCCUCUAACUACAAAAGGUAAAAAAGCACGAGGUCAAAACUCACCGGCAAAAUGGGCGCAAUGACCAAGAUUUUGAAUUUUAUUCCGAGUUCUAGCUUGAAGAAUAAAAGCAUUUUUUUAUCUCUUUUCUUUUUCCCCCUCAUGAUGUGAUUAACGCAAAAUUUUCCUUCCAUCAAUAUUCGCCUAAGUUAAAAAAUCAUCUGAGUCCUCACUCACUCGGGCUUAGCUGCAAACCAGCUUGUGCCUAGAUUCAAAACUCAAUCAACUCAUCCAAGUGAGGACACCCUUCUCGCUCGAAAGCUUAGCUACGAGCCAGUUUGCGCCUAAGUUAAAAACUCAUCCGUGUGAGGACAUCCUUCUCACUCGGGGGUUAGCUAGUUUGCGCCUAAUCCCAAAAUUCAAUUGAAACACAUCAGCAAACAAAGCAAGGAUUCACAUAUCCGAAUAACUUUGAUCUGUUCGAGCAGUUAAAGCAAAAACAUAAGUGCACGAGCUCCGUACUCGAUCAAGUUUAACGGUUGCAUAACCACUCGGCAUACCAUGGCAAAUUCACUUGGACUCAAAGUUUUCGGUCAAGUCUCUGACGUAGGACUAGCCGGAUCAACCAACGUGUCCAACUCGAUGUCGUCCGCUAUCCGAGUGGCAGCCUCUAUGAACAUCUCAAUAAAGUCCUCGAACUUGAGCUUCUUCUUGUUGAUGACCUUGAGGGACUUCAGCUUCUCCUCCUCGACAUCCUUGCAAUGGAUGCGGACGAGUGAAAGCGCCACGUCGGCACCACAAUGGGCUGCGAAAUUCUUCCAUGAUCAUUCUGAAGUUCUUCAUCUGGAAGCAGUUUUGCGUCAAUCUUCUCCACACCGAACUCCUCGACGUACUGUUCAAGCUCAUUCUUCUUCUUGAGAAGCUCAGUGAUCUGGUCGCUUGACUUCUUCUUCUCCUCUUCAAAGGCACUCGUCUGGUUAUUGAACUUCAUCUCCCACUCGGCGUAGCUGCUCUUGAGCUCUGAAAUCUCACCUUUCAUCACUUCAGUCGCGAUCUUCAGAGUCUUGUUCUCCUCCUUGAGCUACCCCACGCUUUUCAGAGAGUCCUCAGCUGCUUUGAUUUUUGUGUUGGCGUUCUUCCAGGCCUCGGCAAGUUUGAUGUCCUUAUCCUCAAGAGCCUACUUCAUAGUUUCAAAAGAAAUACAGGUCCUGAGCCUCGUUUGGAGUUGGCAUUCUCACUACGAACAUCUGCUAAAGCGAGUUCAUUCGGAUCAAAGGAAAAACAAGCUUCGAAGAGCGGUCGAAUUCUAAAACUAACCUCCUGGGACACGCUUCUCUUUGGGCAAGGCGGUCGCUUUUAUGCCUCUCCGUCUCUAGAUCCAGGUAAAGCUGCAACACUUCCUUCUCCGAGGCAACGUAGUGAGUUCCAAGCUCACAAGCUCUCUCUUAUAAGACAAGAGAUUGAUCAGUCGACGACAAAGACGAAAACCCUUCUAAGGAAAGAACAAACUAGACCGGUACCAGAUGUUGAAGUGUGCGUUUCAAGGAAGGAACAAGCUCGGCCAAUUCGAGACAUUCUAACAAUCCUAUAUCUACGAGGCUUCUAGAAACCCCGGCAUCCACUCGGCCAGCCGGUGGAGAGUUGUGCUCCGAGUGCAAGAAUCAGCAAAAAUUCAAUUCAAAAUGAUGAGGAACGUUGCAGAAAAUAAAAAAUUUCCUACGGUUUCACCAAGAUCUAUCUAUGAGUUCAUCUAGCAACCAGUGAUCAGAUUGCAUCUACAUACCUUUGUAGAUCACGCGCGGAAGCGUUCAAAGAACGGGGAUGAGGAAGUCGUACUCGACGUGAUCCAAAUCACCGGAGAUCCUAGCGCCGAACGGACGGCACAUCCGUGUUCAACACACGUACGGUCAGCGUGACGUCUCCUCCUUCUUGAUCCAGCAAGGGGAAGGAGAGGUUGAUGAAGAUCCAGCAGCACGACGGCGUGGUGGUGGAUGCAGCAGUCACCGCAGCAGGGCUUCGACGUUCUUCUGCGAGAGGGAGAGGUGUAGCAGAGGAGAGGGAGGCGCCAAGAGUCAAGGGUGCGGCUGCCCCUCCCCCCCCCUUUAUAUAGGCUCCCCAAGGGGGGGGCGGCCCUAGGAGAUGGGAUCUCCUAGGGGGGGCGGCCAAGGGUGGAGUGGCCCCCAAGGCAAGUGGGGCGCCCCCCCCCCCACCCUAGGGUUUCCAACCCUAGGCGCAGGGGUGGGCCAAGGGGGGCGCACCAGCCCACUAUGGGCUGGUUUCCCUCCCCACUUCAGCCCAUGGGGCCCUCCGAGAUGGGUUGUCCCACCCGAUGGACCCCCGGGACCCAUCCGGUAGUCCCGGUACAAUACCGGUGACCCCCGAAACUCUCCCGAUGGCCGAAACUGCACUUUCUAUGUAUAAUUCUUCACCUCCGGACCAUUCCGAAACUCCUCGUGACGUCCGGGAUCUCAUCCGGGACUCCAACAACUUUCGGGUUACUGCAUAUUCAUAUCUCUACAACCCUAGCGUCACCGAACCUUAAGUGUGUAGACCCUACGGGUUCGGGAGACAUGUAGACAUGACCGAGAUGGCCCUCCGAUCAAUAACCAACAGCGGGAUCUGGAUACCCAUGUUGGCUUUCACAUGCUCCUCGAUGAUCUCAUCGAAUGAACCACGGUGUCGAGGAUUCAAGCAACCCCGUAUACAAUUCCCUUUCUCAAUCGGUACGUUACUUGCCCGAGAUUCGAUCAUCGGUAUCCCAAUACCUCGUUCAAUCUCGUUACCGGCAAGUCACUUUACUCGUACCGUAAUGCAUGAUCCCGUGACCGGACACUUGGUCACUUUGAGCUCAUUAUGAUGAUGCAUUACCGAGUGGGCCCAGAGAUACCUCUCCGUCAUACGGAGUGAAAAAUCCCAGUCUUGAUCCGUGUCAACCCAACAGACACUUUUGGAGAUACCCGUAGUAUACCUUUAUAGUCACCCAGUUACGUUGUGAUGUUUGGUACACCCAAAGCACUCCUACGGUAUCCGGGAGUUACACGAUCUCAUGGUCUAAGGAAAAGAUACUUGACAUUGGAAAAACUCUAGCAAACGAACUAUACGAUCUCGUGCUAUAUUUAGGAUUGGGUCUUGUCCAUCACAUCAUUCUCCUAAUGAUGUGAUAUCGUUAUCAAUGACAUCCAGUGUCCAUAGUCAGGAAACCAUGACUAUCUGUUGAUCAACGAGCUAGUCAACUAGAGGCUUACUAGGGACAUGUUGGUGUCUAUGUAUUCACACAUGUAUUACGAUUUUCGGAUAACACAAUUAUAGCAUGAAUAAAAGACAAUUAUCAUGAACAAGGAAAUAUAAUAAUAAUCCUUUUAUUAUUGCCUCUAGGGCAUAUUUCCAACAGUCUCCCACUUGCACUAGAGUCAAUAAUCUAGUUACAUUGUGAUGAAUUGAACACCCUUGGAAUUCUGGUGUUGAUCAUGUUUUGCUCUAGGGAGAGGUUUAGUCAACGGAUCUGCUACAUUCAGGUCCGUAUGUACUUUACAAAUAUCUAUGUCUCCAUCUUGAACAUUUUCACGAAUGGAGUUGAAGCGACAGUUGAUGUGCCUGGUCUUCUUGUGAAACCUGGGCUCCUUGGCAAGUGCAAUAGCUCCAGUGUUGUCACAGAAGAGUUUGAUCGGCCCCGACGCAUUGGGUAUGACUCCUAGGUCGGUGAUGAACUCCUUCACCCAAAUUGCUUCAUGCGCUGCCUCCGAGGCUGCCAUGUACUCCGCUUCACAUGUAGAUCCCGCCAUGACGCUCUGCUUGCAACUGCACCAGCUUACUGCCCCACCAUUCAAAAUAUACACGUAUCCGAUUUGUGACUUAGAGUCAUCCAGAUCUGUGUCGAAGCUAGCGUCGACGUAACCCUUUACGACGAGCUCUUCGUCACCUCCAUAAACGAGAAACAUUUCCUUAGUCCUUUUCAGGUACUACAGGAUAUUCUUGACCGCUGUCCAGUGUUCCUUACCGGGAUUACUUUGGUACCUACCUACCAAACUUACGGCAAGGUUUACAUCAGGUCUGGUACACAGCAUGGCAUACAUAAUAGAACCUAUGGCUGAGGCAUAGGAGAUGACACUCAUCUCUUCUAUAUCUUCUGCCAUGGUCGGACAUUGAGCUGAGCUCAAUUUUACAUCUUGCAACACAGGUAAGAACCUCUUCUUAGACUGAUCCAUAUUGAACUUCUUCAAUAUCUUAUCAAGGUAUGUGCUUUGUGAAAGACCUAUGAGGCGUCUUGAUCUAUCUCUAUAGAUCUUGAUGCCUAAUAUAUAUGCAGCUUCUUCAAGGUCCUUCAUUGAAAAACUCUUAUUCAAGUAGGCCUUAAUGCUGUCCAAAAGCUCUAUAUCAUUUCCCAUCAAAAGUAUGUCAUCUACAUAUAAUAUGAGAAAUGCUACAGAGCUCCCACUCACUUUCUUGUAAACACAGGCUUCUCCAUAAGUCUGCAUAAACCCAAACGCUUUGAUCAUCUCAUCAAAGCGAAUGUUCCAACUCCGAGAUGCUUGCACCAGCCCAUAAAUCGAGCGUUGGAGCUUGCACACUUUGUCAGCAUUCUUAGGAUCGACAAAACCUUCCGGCUGCAUCAUAUACAAUUCUUAUUUAAGGAAACCAUUAAGGAAUGCCGUUUUGACGUCCAUUUGCCAUAUUUCAUAAUCAUAGAAUGCGACAAUUGCUAACAUGAUUCGGACGGACUUCAGCUUCGCUACAGGUGAGAAAGUCUCAUCGUAGUCAACCCCUUGAACUUGUCGAUAACCCUUAGCGACAAGCCGAGCUUUAUAGAUGGUCACAUUACCAUCCGCGUCUGUCUUCUUCUUAAAGAUCCAUUUAUUUUCUAUGGCUCGCCGAUCAUCGGGCAAGUCAGUCAAAGUCCAUACUUCGUUUUCAUACAUGGAUCCUAUCUCGGAUUUCAUGGCUUCCAGCCAUUUGUCAGAAUCCGGGCCCGCCAUCGCUUCUUCAUAGUUCAAAGGUUCACCGUUGUCUAACAACAUGAUUUCCAAGACAGGGUUGCCGUACCACUCUGGUGCGGAACGUGUCCUUGUGGACCUACGAAGUUCAGUAGCAACUUGAUACGAAGUUUCAUGAUCAUCAUCAUUAACUUCCUCUCUAGUCGGUGUAGGCACCUCAGGAACAUUUUCUUGAGUCGCGCCACUUUCCAGUUCAAGAGGUAAUACUUCAUCAAGUUCUACUUUCCUCCCACUUACUUCUUUCGAGAGAAACUCUUUCUCUAGAAAGGAUCCAUUCUUGGCAACAAAGAUCUUGCCUUCGGAUCUGAGGUAGAAGGUAUACCCAAUAGUUUCUUUAGGGUAUCCUAUGAAGACGUAUUUUUCUGACUUGGGUUCGAGCUUUUCAGGUUGAAGUUUCUUGACAUAAGCAUCGCAUCCCCAAACUUUUAGAAACGACAGCUUAGGUUUCUUCCCAAACCAUAAUUCAUACGGUGUCGUCUCAACGGAUUUCGACGAUGCCCUAUUUAAAGUGAAUGCGGCAGUCUCUAAAGCAUAGCCCCAAAAUGAUAGCGGUAAAUCGGUAAGAGACAUCAUAGAUCGCACCAUAUCUAAUAGAGUGCGAUUAUGACGUUCGGACACACCAUUACGCUAAGGUGUUCCAGGCAGCGUGAGUUGUGAAACUAUUCCACAUUUUCUUAAGUGUGUGCCAAAUUCGUGACUCAAGUAUUCUCCUCCACGAUCUGAUCGCAAGAACUUGAUUUCCCUGUCACGUUGAUUCUCAACCUCACUCUGAAAUUCCUUGAACUUUUCAAAGGUCUCAGACUUGUGUUUCAUUAAAUAGACAUACCCAUAUCUACUCAAGUCAUCAGUGAGGGUGAGAACAUAACGAUAGCCACCGCGAGCCUCAACACUCAUUGGACCGCACACAUCAAUAUGUAUGAUUUCCAAUAAGUUGGUUGCUCGCUCCAUUGUUCCUGAGAACGGAGUCUUGGUCAUUUUACCCAUGAGGCAUGGUUCGCAUGUGUCAAAUGAUUCGUAAUCAAGAGACUCUAAAAGUCCAUCUGCAUGGAGCUUCUUUAUGCGUUUGACACCUAUGUGACCAAGGCGGCAGUGCCACAAGUAUGUGGGACUAUCAUUAUCAACCUUACAUCUUUUGGUAUUCACACUAUGAAUAUGUGUAGCAUUACGCUCGAGAUUCAUUAAGAAUAAACCAUUCACCAUCGGAGCAUCACCAUAAAACAUAUCUCUCAUAUAAAUAGAACAACCAUUAUUCUCGGAUUUAAAUGAGUAGCCAUCUCGUAUUAAACGAGAUCCUGAUACAAUGUUCAUGCUCAAACUUGGCACUAAAUAACAAUUAUUGAGGUUCAAAACUAAUCCCGUAGGUAAAUGUAGAGGUAGCGUGCCGACGGCGAUCACAUCGACCUUGGAACCAUUCCCGACGCGCAUCGUCUCCUCGUCCUUCGCCAGUCUCCGCUUAUUCCGCAGCUCCUGCUUUGAGUUACAGAUGUGAGCAACUGCACCGGUAUCAAAUACCCAGGAGCUACUACGAGUACUGGUAAGGUACACAUCAAUUACAUGUAUAUCACAUAUACCUUUUGUUUUGCUGGCCUUCUUGUCUGCUAAGUAUUUGGGGCAGUUCCGCUUCUAGUGACCACUUUCCUUGCAAUAAAAGCACCCAGUCUCGGGUUUGGGUCCAUUCUUUGGCUUCUUCCCGACAGCUUGCUUGCCGGGUGCGGCAACUCCCUUGCCGUCCUUCUUGAAGUUCUUCUUACCCUUGUGUUUCUUGAACUUAGUGGUUUUAUUCACCAUGAACACUUGAUGUUCCUUUUUGACUUCUACCUCUGCUGAUUUCAGCAUUGCAAAUACUUCAGGAAUGGUCUUUUCCAUCCCCUGCAUAUUGAAGUUCAUCACAAAGAUCUUGUAGCUCGGUGGAAGCGACUGAAGGAUUCUGUCAAUGACCGCAUCAUCCGGGAGAUUAACUCCCAGCUGAGUCAAGCGGUUAUGUAACCCUGACAUAGUGAGUAUGUGCUCACUGAUAGAACUAUUUUCCUCCAUCUUACAGCUGAAGAACUUGUCGGAGACUUCAUAUCUCUCGACCCGGGCAUGAGCUUGAAAAACCAUUUUCAGCUCUUUGAACAUCUCAUAUGCUCCGUGUCUCUCAAAACACUUUUGGAGCCCCGGUUCUAAGCUGUAAAGCAUGCCGCACUGAACGAGGGAGUAAUCAUCAGCACGUGUCUGCCAAGCGUUCAUAAGUCUUGUUCCGCAGGGAGAACAGGUGCGUCACCUAGCGGUGCUUCUAGGACAUAAUCUUUCUUUGUAGCUAUGAGGAUGAUCCUCAGGUUCCGGACCCAGUCCGUAUAAUUGCUGCCAUCGUCUUUUAGCUUGGUUUUCUCUAGGAACGCGUUGAAGUUGAGGACAAUGUUGGCCAUUUGAUCUACAAGACAUAUUGUAAAUAUUUUAGACUAAGUUCAUGAUAAUUAAGUUCAUCUAAUCAAAUUAUUUAAUGAAAUCCCACUUAGAUAGACAUCCCUCCAGUCAUCUAAGUAUAACAUGAUCCGAGUUAACUAGGCCGUGUCCGAUCAUCACGUGAGACGGACUAGUCAAUAUCGGUGAACAUCUUCAUGUUGAUCGUAUCUUCUAUACGACUCAUGCUCGACCUUUCGGUCUUCUAUGUUCCGAGGCCAUGUCUGUACAUGCUAGGCUCGUCAAGUCAACCUAAGUGUUUGCAUGUGUAAAUCUGUCUUACACCCGUUGUAUGUGAAUGUUGGAAUCUAUCACACCCGAUCAUCACGUGGUGCUUCGAAACAACGAACUGUCGCAACGGCGCAUAGUUAGGGGGAACACUUUCUUGAAAUUAUUAUGAGGGAUCAUCUUAUUUACUACCGUCGUUCUAAGUAAACAAGAUGCAAAAACAUGAUAAACAUCACAUGCAAUCAAAUAAUAAUAGUGACAUGAUAUGGCCAAUAUCACAUAGCUCCUUUGAUCUCCAUCUUGGGGCUCCAUGAUCAUCUUGUCACCGGCAUGACACCAUGAUCUCCAUCAUCAUGUCUCCAUGAAGUUUCUCGCCAACUAUUACUUCUACUACUAUGGCUAACACGUUUAGCAAUAAAGUAAAGUAAUUUACAUGGCGUUUCUCAAUGACACGCAGGUCAUACAAAAAAUAAAGACAACUCCUAUGGCUCCUGCCGGUUGUCAUACUCAUCGACAUGCAAGUCGUGAUUCCUAUUACAAUAGCAUGAACAUCUCAUACAUCACAUAUAUAUCAUUCAUCAUUCAUCACAACUUUGGCCAUAUCACAUCACAAAACACUUGCUGCAAAAACAAGUUAGACGUCCUCUAAUUGUUGUUGCAAGUUUUACAUGGCUGCAAUAGGGUUCUAGCAAGAACGUUUUCUUACCUACGUGAAAGACACAACGUGAUUUGUCAACUUCUAUUUACCCUUCAUAAGGACCCUUUUCAUCGAAUCCGCUCCAAUUAAACUGGGAGAGACAGACACCCGCCAGCCACCUUAUGCAACUAGUGCAUGUCAGUCGGUGGAACCGGUCUCACGUAAGUGUACGUGUAAGGUUGGUCCGGGCCGCUUCAUCCCAUAAUACCGCUGAAGCAAAAUAAGACUAGUAGCGGCAAGAAAGUUGACAACAUCUACGCCCACAACAAAUUGUAUUCUACUUGUGCAAAGAGAACUACGCAUAGACCUAGCUCAUGAUGCCACUGAUGGGGAACGUUGCAGAAAACAAAAAAUUUCCUACGGUUUCACCAAGAUCCAUCUAUGAGUUCAUCUAGCAACGAGUGAUCGGAUUGCAUCUACAUACCUUUGUAGAUCACGCGCGGAAGCGUUCAAAGAACGGGGAUGAGGAAGUCGUACUCGACGUGAUCCAAAUCACCGGAGAUCCUAGCGCCGAACGAACGGCACCUCCGUGUUCAACACACGUACGGUCAGCAUGACGUCUCCUCCUUCUUGAUCCAGCAAGGGGAAGGAGAGGUUGAUGAAGAUCCAGCAGCACGACGGCGUGGUGGUGGAUGCAGAAGUCACCGCAGCAGGGCUUCGCCGUUCUUCUGCGAGAGGGAGAGGUGUAGCAGAGGAGAGGGAGGCGCCAAGAGUCAAGGUUGCGGCUGCCCCUCCCUCCCCUCCUUUAUAUAGGCUCCCCAAGGGGGGGGGCGCCGGCCCUAGGAGAUGGGAUCUCCUAGGGGGGCGGCGACCAAGGGUGGAGUGGCCCCCAAGGCAAGUAGGGCGCCCCCCACCCUAAGGUUUCCAACCCUAGGCGCAGGGGGUGGGCCAAGGGGGGCGCACCAGCCCACUAUGGGCUGGUUCCCCUCCCCACUUCAGCCCAUGGGGCCCUCCGGGAUGGGUGGUCUCACCCUAUGGACCCCCGAGACCCAUCCGGUGGUCCCGGUACAAUACCGGUGACCCCCGAAACUCUCCCGAUGGCCGAAACUGCACUUCCUAUAUAUAAUUCUUCACCUACGGACCAUUCCGGAACUCUUCGUGACGUCCGGGAUCUCAUCCGGGACUCCGAACAACUUUUGGGUUAAUGCAUAUUCAUAUCUCUACAACCCUAGCAUCACCGAACCUUAAGUGUGUAGACCCUACGGGUUCGGGAGACAUGUAGACAUGACCAAGAUGGCCCUCCGGUCAAUAACCAACAGCGGGAUCUGGAUACCCAUGUUGGCUUCCACAUGCUCCUCGAUGAUCUCAUCGGAUGAACCACGAUGUCGAGGAUUCAAGCAACCCCGUAUACAAUUCCCUUUGUCAAUCGGUAUGUUACUUGCCCGAGAUUCGAUCGUCGGUAUCCCAAUACCUCGUUCAAUCUCGUUACCGGCAAGUCACUUUACUCGUACCGUAAUGCAUGAUCCCGUGACCAGACACUUGGUCACUUUGAGCUCAUUAUGAUGAUGCAUUACCGAGUGGGCCCAGAUAUACCUCUCCAUCAUACGGAGUGACAAAUCCCAGUCUUGAUCCGUGUCAACCCAACAGACACUUUUGGAGAUACCCGUAGUAUACCUUUAUAGUCACCCAGUUACGUUGUGAUGUUUGGUACACCCAAAGCACUCCUACGGUAUCCGGAAGUUACACGAUCUCAUGGUCUAAGGAAAAGAUACUUGACAUUGGAAAAACUCUAGCAAACGAACUAUACGAUCUCGUGCUAUGUUCAGGAUUGGGUCUUGUCCAUCACAUCAUUCUCCUAAUGAUGUGAUCUCGUUAUCAAUGACAUCCAAUGUCCAUAGUCAGGAAACCAUGAGUAUCUGUUGAUCAACGAGCUAGUCAACUAGAGGCUUACUAGGGACAUGUUGGUGUCUAUGUAUUCACACAUGUAUUAUAAUUUCCGGAUAACACAAUUAUAGCAUGAAUAAAAGACAAUUAUCAUGAACAAGGAAAUAUAAUAAUAAUCCUUUUAUUAUUGCCUCUAGGGCAUAUUUCCAACACAAAAUACUACCCGGCACGACAUACAAUGGUCAAUUCAUUACAUGCAAUGGUAUUAAUUAGCAAAUAAACAUUAAGUUUUCUCGUUUUCCCCUCUUCUUUGGUCACGGUGCACAACGUAAGGCUGGUCAUAGUGGGGAGUAACUUAGACUAGUAACAUGCAUAUGUUACUAGUCUAUGUUACUACCUCUAUAGUACAUAGUAUCAUAGAUGGUCUUAUUUAUUGCCAUGCAUGACACAUAGUAGCACCACAUUUAUUAUUUUACGGUAUCUACCUAUGUUACUAUAACCAUCUCUCUCUUCUUUAAUUGCCUGUCACAUAAGCAUGUUUGCGAGUUCCAAGUACAUGAUACUACUUAUGUUACCCCUACUAUGGCCAGCCUAAGAUGACUUAGUGGGUGCUUGGAUCCAAGGGACUUUAUUUAUUCUGACUAAAAAUAGUCUCUUUAAGAGCAACUCUAGCAGACCCCGCAUCCUCCCGACCCGCAAAACGUUUUUGCAGUUUGCGGAAAAACGUCUUUGCGGGUCGGUGCAGACGGCCGCAGUUGCAUACCCCGCAUAAUGGACCCGUAAAAAAGGAUAUUUCUAGAAUAUGCUUUUUUACGAGUUGGGGUUGCAGCGUCUGAUCUGGCGCAUCUCCUCUCGGCCCGCAAAACUUAAAUUUGCAACUCAAUUUGAUCUAGCAUAUUGCAUUGUUUUGACAACAUUGGAUACAAAAAGCAUCACCAAAUCUUUGCUAGAAUAGCAAGACCAAAGUAAACAAGAAUUACAAGAAUGCAUUUUAGAAGGUUUCUAAUUUCCAUAACUGCUCCCGCUAGUUGGACUAAUAUCUUCUCCAUGCAUUCGUUGUUGAUCUGUGGAUUCUUGAUUUUGCAUUCUUCUUUCUUCAUCUUUGGUUCAGAAGAAGUAGAUGUUGCUUCCCCUCUAGUUGCACAUGCAGACGCAUCAUUGCCUUCAAUUGUACUAAGGAGUGCACUAACAUCUAUUAAAUUUCUUUCUAUCAACAAUGUAUUGCCCUUCCCAAAACCAAAAUGAGCAUCCUUCGUCCUACACAAAAGAAUGAGCAAGCUCGAAGUGAGCCACCGCAGUUUAGCUAAAGAAUGAACUGUGAAACGAGCUACCGCAAGUGCACGUACCCCGUCGAUUUCACUUUGAAGAACACCCAUCCAAUGUGCUUCGGCAUGCUUGAAGUGAGCCGCAUCACUUUCCGCGUGCAGUCGUCACACUCUAUGAGCGGCAUCGGCAAGCCACAAAGACGCUGCGCGAGCGCCGAGCCCGGUGGACGGCCUGACAAACUCGCACUGCAUGCGGCGAUGCGCCCUUGCCUGGGCUGCGGGAGAAGCUCCCCGACCACUCCAUCGCUUGGUGCAGCAAACCGGUGGUCGAAAAAAGCCAAAUCCGGCGGCCCGCGAUGAAGCCGAUGCAAGGGGAGGGGGGAGGCCUCGUGCGCGUGGUGGCCUUCCGGCGUGCUCCUGCCGGCUGCGGUCGCCGGAAUCUUGGGCGGCGGCCGACGGCGCGAGAGGGGAGAGGAGAGGUGGUUGGUGGGAGAAAGCGCGGGAUGAAAUGUCCCCCCACCAACCGCUUCCGCUUAUAUGCAGGGCACCGCAGCCGCGAGGGGGAAACCCGCGUUUUCCCGGGUUGGGCUCGGGAUUUUGCCGCACCCCCUAAAAAAAAUUGCGGGCCGGGGCGGGAUGCGGGGUCUGAUCGGGUGGGUUUUUUCGCCCCAGCCCGCAUUUUAACGGUUAUUUUACGAGUCGGGGCGGGAUGGGGGUCUGCUAGAGUUGCUCUAAGAGGCUAAAGUUCCAAGCACCCCUGACUAAAGAGGGGUUAAAACUAGUCUUGAGACUAAAAUAAUUUAGUCAGGGAUACCCCUACUAAAAUGUGGAUUAGUCCUCUCUCUCCUCAUUUAACUCCUCUCCUUUAACAUAGUCGAGUUCUGAAUUGGAGGGUUUGGAGGAUAAUAAAUGCUCAUUAACUUGAUUUUAGUUUCUUUAGUAUUUGGAUCCAAGCAUGGGUGAGGCUAGCAAAUUUUAGUCCCACUACUUUUAUUCAUGAGAUUAAAACGUAUCCAAGCACCCUCUUAUGCACCGGUACGGAGAGAGUACUAUAUAUGAACCUUUAGAAAACCAGUUUUUAUAAUUGUAGUCUCCUUUCUGAUCCUUCAUUUUGCGUGCCAUUAAUUAAUUAAUUGAAUUUUCUUGAUAUUAUCUCUCUUCCCCAUGAAUGUGAUGUGCAUUGGUUCGCUCGUUCACACGGAGGGUGAGACUUUGCCGCCAGCUACACAUACCAACCUACCUGUAUGUCUGUCUCUUAGUGUUCAUCGCCUUCACCCAAUUGAUCAGUCAAGAAAAGGCACGUAGACAAAGAGAUCUCAGUUGUAUUCUCGAAAAAUUAUAAGGAAAACAGUUAUAUAUUUUUUAAGGAACUGACAGUCUUAUCUUGGUAAAUAUUUUUAACAUCCAAUGCAAAAAAAAAACUAUUUUUAAACUACAAUCGCAGAUGCUCACAUACUCCCUAUAUUAUGAGCACCUCCGAAAUAACUAAAUACACCUAAAUACUCUUAUGUGGAAAGAGAGAUUGUUUUUGUGUGUGAAUAAUACGGAAAUUUUAUUCCAAAGUCACAGGGUUAUAGUCGAGAGGCAAUAAGUCCUCACAACAUGGAGGACAUCUGUUCAUCCAUACUGUAGUACAAGACUCGGCACGGCUAUAAUUUGCCAUACAAUCAGCUACUCCCUCCGUUCCUAAAUAUAAGUCUUUUUAGAGAUUCUACUAUGGACUACAUACGGAACAAAAUGAGUAAAUCUACACUCUAAAAUAUGUCUAUAUACAUCCGUAUGUAGUUUCGUAGUGGAAUCCCUAAAAAGACUUAUAUUUAGGAACGGAGGGAGUACCUUAUUUUGAGUCCUAAUUUUCAUGUCUUAAUUAAGAGAAGGCAAGCUUUUCUAUGUUUUCUCCUCCUCUUAUCUCAGCAUUUAUUCUCUACAUGGCAUUCAUUCAUAAGAUAACACCAUUGUACACGCCUUAGCUCAGGAUCGUCAAUCUUGAUUCCAUCAGUCUAAAACUCCAACGAGAUCCUGUUGUGUUGUUCUGGAACAGGUCUGAAACAUGGACAUCUUCGUCUCAACUCUCAACUUUUGCUUGCGUCUGAAAAGCGGUUGGCGACAGAGGAUGUGCGCUUUCCUAGUUGUAAGUUUACAUCAUUUAUGAUCUCUUCCCGGACCAAACAUGAAUCUUUCGACUCAUUUGGGUCUCACGCUCCGCUCCUCUUGGUCGAGUCUGAUGGACAGUGUGACUGAAUGCAACAGUUUUGUUCCAUAUUCAAGCGUCGCGAUCGAGAUUAAAAGUCUGACAGACGAUAUUACUGGCUAGUUACCUACUCCUAUUUUCCUUUCUUUUGUGGCGUGCUGCCAAGCCACCCAAAGAUGACUCGUUGUUGACUCAUGGCCAGCCUCCACCUCCACUUGCUGCUCUCCAAUUACAGGUCAAGCGCGUGAAGGAUUAAACAAUCCUACUUGCGAGUCCCAUGGCAACCUCUUGUUACUUUCUCAAGGUUAUCCAGCAAGUAGCCUCUAAUCUGCCGGUGCUGAAGAAUUAGCCAUGCAUCAUCGGAGGACAAGUAGUGUACCUAGCAUUAGCAAGCACGUCGUGUCUAGUCUAUGCAAGCCCGCGCAGAGGACAAGUGUAUGGGCAGCAUCAUCGGAUGGAUGCAAUUUACGCAGCACAUCUCCAUCAGUCGGCGCUUCCGGACAAGCACGCCUUGAUUAACGUCUCCGAGCUCAGCCGUCCUUCUCACGCCGACGACUCGUUUGGGCUUUGGCUGUGCCUGCUUCCUCCUCGCCGGCCCACCUACUGCAUCUGAUUCUGAUCUGAUAUCGGGGGUGAUCGCUCGCUCGAUGACAUGAUCAUACAAAAUAAAAUAUCAGCAGAUUUGGCCAAACACCAGAGGCUGGGAGCAUGAGUGUGUGUGCCAUGCAUGGCCGUAUGAUGAAGAUGAACACGCCUGCUGCUUGCUGAUCUAGCUAGCUUUGCCAUUAUUAGCGAGACGGAUGGAGACUGCUGCACCUAUCUGCAUCUACCUGCGUGAAUCAUCACGCCGGUCCUCGUCUCCUUCCCUUCCGUCGCCUCUUUCACGUGUGGGGUGUGAGGCGCCGGGCCCCUCCUCCUCAACCUGCUUCCUUCUUUCUUCUUCUUUUUCACCGAAGCAGCACGUGACAAUCUAUAUAGAGAACAAUCAGAAGGAAUGGAGGAGAAAUGGAAAUCAAAUCAAAUCGCACAAGAUCUCCAAAUGCUGACCCUCACUCAAAUCAGACACCGAUACGGGAGCUGGCCGUCCAACCAUAUCCACAUACAAGUUUGAAUUAAAAAAAACUUAUCGCUCGGAAUAGCGUGAUCACCAGAAAAAAGUAAAGAAAGCAUAGCAAUUGAAAAGAAAAAACUGAAACAAUAGUGCUUUCCACCAUUGUGACUUGAAAAAAAUUAGUGCCUUCUGCUAUUAUGAGCACUUGAAAAGUAAAAAAGAGUGUAGCACUUGAAGGAAAAAAAAAGCGAAACAAUAAUGAUUCCGCCAAAUGCUAGCAACCUUCCGCCCAAGAGUAAAAAAAUUAGCAUCGGCUUUCCGUCAUCCAGACAGAGAGAGGGCACGUGGUGGCUUUGGAUUGGCCAGACGGAUGUACGGACUCUUGCAAAGCUCCCCUUUGUUUGUCUCUUGUUUGUGAAAAACAGACGUCUGGACGCGUCGACGGACCGAUGUGGGACUGUGUUGGAUGGCAAACUGUAUCCGGACAAUGUGGUCCAGAUAUAUGCAUUUUGGAGACGCCCUAAAUGCAACAUGUGGGGAACAUGUAAUUAAAUACUUGGUUAAGCUGAGUCACAAGUGGAAAUUCAAGGGAUGCCCACGGACGCAUAUAAACGGAUUUAUGAUAAUCUAAAAAAUGAUGGAAUUCAAUAUGGUUAACGAGGUUAUUCUUUUUUCUAAAAGCUUAAAUAUUCCAUGUUCCAUGAACAUUUCUAUGAUGUACUAGAUCUUUUGAAAUUCUCUGUUUUUCAGAAACGUGAUACAACGGUAGGCAAUCAGAUACACGCACAUCCACACAUCUAUGAGUAAGGUCUAGGAUCAAACCCAUGUUUACCAAAAGAAACCUAACCAACAAAGCCAAGCUCACUUGACCCUAGUUUUCCAUUUUCCUUCAAUUAUCCUUUUUUUCCUUAUUAGUUUUCAUGUAAGUAUCUAUUAUUUUACAAAAGAAUAAUUUUCUUGUAACUUUUUGAAAACUGUGAAUUUUUAUGUUGACUAGGUUGCCAUUUGUGAAACCAAUGUUUAGUAGGAUUUUCAAUGGAACAAAUCACCAGAUUAAGAUAAUUUAGGCACUUAGAGCAUCUGUGGCUAGACCCAUUAUAUUGCUCCUAUAUGUCCAGACGAACAGGACGAUCAGUGCAUAAAUACAUUUACACUCGCCUAAUAUCCCAAAAAAUACACAUAAGAAUAAACUAAAAAAGAAAAAAGAAGAAAGAUGCAUAAAAAACGAAAAAGAAACAAAGAAAGAGAGGGGAGGGCUGGGUCGUCAGAUGGGCUAAUUAGAGCUAGCUCGGUAGCAUAGCUAACUGGGCUUCAGCCCUUGAAGAAUUAUCUGACCGAAAACUGUGGCCAGUCAAAAUUUUCGAGCCCGAAACAAGACAUACCACAGAACAAGAAAAAAUUUAUUUCUCAAAGACAAAACAAGAAAAAAAAAUGAGCAUGAGUCUUGGGAGCAGCAAUCAACGGUUAGAAAAAUCGACUGAUCCAAAUUUAAUUUUCAAGGGAUCUACAUAUUGCUAAACAGGCACUUCCUCCGUUUCUAAAUAUAUUUUUAAACAUUUCAAAUAGACUACAACAUACGGAUGUAUGUAGAUAUAAUUUAAAGUGUGCAUUCACUCAUUUUGCUUCGUAUGUAGCCAUUUGUUAAAAUCUCUAAAAAAGACUUAUAUUUAGAAACGGAGGAAGUACCAAUUAGUAGUACAAAUUAACAAGACGAUCGAAUUGAUUGAUGAACUUAAUCCCCACAAAAUUAGUACUAUCAUAUAUACAACAUUGAGGCAAAUCAUGGUGAUUGAUGAACUUAAUCCCCAUAAAAUUAGUACUAUCAUAUAUACAACACUGAGGAGGCAAAUCAUGGUCGAUUGUUUACGCCGAAAAGAACAUCCGAGCACAAUCAUCGAUCAUUCUAGGAACGGGUAAUCAGUGUAUCCGACGGCGGGGUGGGCGGCGCCGGCGCCGGCGCCGUAGAAGGUGGCGCUGACGCAGUCGUUGAGCGGCGCGCCGAGCUCGAACCUCCUCGGCAGGUCCGGGUUCGCCAGGAAGAGCCGCCCGUACGCCACCAGGUCGGCGUACCCCUCGCCGACGGCCGCGUCGCCCUCCUCCCGCCCGUACCCGCCGCUGGCGAUGAACGUGCCGCCGAACGCCUCCCUGUAAGGCAGCAGCCGCCGGGACACGCGCCGCCGGCCGUCCACCUUGGGCUCGAUCAUGUGGCAGUAGAGCACGCCGAGGUCGUUGAGCCGGCUGACGACAUGGAGCGCCAGCGCGUGCUCGUCCGGCUCUGCGGUGAACUGGUCCAGUCGCAGGCCCAGGCGGUGGCCGCCGAUCUCCCGCGCCACGGCGUCCACCACCUCCAGCGCGAACCGGCAGCGACUCUCCGGGCCACCGCCGUCGACGACGAAGUAGCCGUUGGUGCCUUGGAGCUCGACGCCGUCGAAGCCUGCCAUGGCACGGCACGGUUGGUGUCUGAUUUCAGAAGUGAAACAGGGGAGCUCGAAAAAGAAAACUGAAACGACGGUCUCCCACGCGCGCACCGGCAUCGAUGGCGUUCCUGGCGGCGCGUCUGAACGCGUCGACGACGCCGGGCGCGUCCUCAGCUGCCACCCUCCUCGGCGACGUGAGCUCCUCGCGGCGGCCAUCAUAGCUCAUCUGCGGGCUCACCUGCUGCCUUUCCCUGACGGCGUCGCCGGGGGCGGCCGCGGCGUGCCAGAGCUGGCAGAAGAAGACGGCGCCCUCGGCGUGCACGGCGUCGACCACGGGCCUCCACGCCUCGACCUGCUCCGGCGCCCAGACCCCCGGCAUGUCCCUGAACGAGGCCGGCUCCUCGUCCUGCCUUGCCGGCGCGACGCGCGUGGCCUCGGAGAUGAGGAGGCCGCCGGGGGUGGCGCGCUGGGAGUAGUAGAGGGCGGCGUGCGGCUGCGGCACGCCGCCGUAGGCGCGCUGCCGCGUCAUGGGCGCCAGCACGACCCGGUGCGACAGCUCGAACUGGCCCAUCUUGUACGGCGUGAGCAGAGGGAUGGGCUCCAUCUCGGAUCCGCUCCGCUGCUCAGAAGCUGAGCAAUGGCGGCUGAGAUUUGCUUGCAGGGAGACAGAACUGGCGGUGGAUGCGGGAGGUCAAAGAUUUUGAUCGACGGUGGCGGCACUCCACUGAUUACCACCACGGAGUGGCUGUCGGAGUCACGGUGCGGUCGGUCCGUCUUGUCUGGUCAUCAGAGGUCCAGCGCGGGGCCAUCGCUGAAGCACGGCGAGGUCACGGCGCCAUGGCGACCAAACGAUCGGAAGAUAGUAGUGGAAGAGUUGCCGGCGAUCUCAUCUUUCUUGUGUGAAGUAUCGGCAGAGACGAGCAGCCCAAGACGCGACAACUACGUUAACUUGCUUGUUUUCUGGCAGAGAGGCGAGAUUAUCCGGCCUCCUACGUGUCGUGAGCGCACCGGUGCUACAAGUUGCACGACAGCGAGGUGGCGCGAAAGCUCCCUGCAGCAAGCACCGCACGGCAAGCAACCGCCGACCGGCUCUACGUCAGGAUGCCUUACCAGAGCGAUGAGGAGACUGAGAAGUAGAAAGAAUUCCUAAAUUCUCCGAUAUAUAAUUCCUAAUGACUCAAAACAUUUUUCUAAACACAACUCGGCCGCUAAAAACGAUCAAGCAAUAGGGCUUCAAAGGUCGGGGAAGGCUCUGAUACCAACUUGUAACACCCUCGAUGCGACUAUAGCUCCCACGUGUCGAGGCACGACUUAGAGACAUAAUCGCAUUGAAGGCAUAUGUCGCAAGUUAGACAAUCUUCACAACAUCCCAUAUAAUAUAAAUAAUAAAGGGAAGAUAACAUAGUUGGCUUACACUCGCCACGUCAAUCAAGUACAUAAAUAACAUUACAUCAUCCAAACACUCAUGGCCCGACUACGGCGCCAAAAUAAAAGAGAACCAAACAUGCGACACGGUCCCAAUCACCCCCAACUGGGCACCACUACUGAUCAUCGGGAAGGAAACAUAGUAACGUUGAGAGUCUUCGUCGAACUCCCACUUGAGCUCAUACGCGUCUCCUGGAGCGGAAUCAUCAGGCCCUGCAUCUGGUGUAACAGUAAUCUGUGAGCCAUAGGGACUCAGCAAUCUCGCACCCUCGCGAUCAAGACUAUUUAAGCUUAUAGGUAUGGCAAGGUAAAAUAUAAGUGGAGCUGCAGCAAGCGACUAACAUAUAUGGUGGCUAACUUAUUCGCAAAAAAGAGCGAGAAGAGGAGGCAAAGCGCGAGCGAGAAACUAGAGAACCACCUGCGCAAACAUUACUCCAACACUGUGUCCACUUCCCGGACUCCGCCGAGAAGAGGCCAUCGCGGUAACACACUCGGUUGAUUCAUUUUAAAAUAAGUUAAGGUUCAAGUUAUCUACAACUGGACAUUAACAAAUUCUCAUCUGCCCAUAACCGCGGGCACGGCUUUCGAAAGUUCAAAUCCCUGCAGGGGAGUCCCAACUUAGCCCAUGACAAGCUCUUACGGUCAACGAAGGAAUAGACCUCCUCCCAAGACGUUCCGAUCAGACUCGGUAUCUCGGUAAUUCAAGACACUUCGACAGGUUAAAACAAGACCAGCAAUACCGUUUGAAUGUGCCGACAAAUCCCGAUAGGAGCUGCACAUAUCUCGUUCUCAGGGCACACUCAGAUAGGUCAAGCUACGAGUAAAACCAACCCUCAAGUUUCCCCGAGGUGGCCCCGCAGGCUGCCCGGUUUGGACCAACACUCAGAGGGAGCACUGGCCCGGGAGGGUUAAAAUAAAAUGACCCUUGGGCUCCGGAAACUCAAGAGAAAAAGAGGCUAGGUGGCGAAUGGUAAAACCAAGGUUGGGCAUUGCUGGAAAAGCUUUAAUCAAGGCGAACUAUCAAGGGGUUUCCAUUAUCACCCAACCGCGUAAGGAACGCAAAAUCCGGAAACAUAACACCGAUAUGACGGAAACUAGGGCGGCAAGAGUGGAACAAAACACUAGGCGAGAGGCCGAGCCUUCCACCCUUUACCAAGUAUAUAGAUACAUUAAGAUAGCAAGAUAAUAUAAUGAUAUCCCAACAAGUAAAUAAAUGUUCCAAAAAGGAACGGCCUCCAAUCUUCACCUGCAACUAGCAAUGCUAUAAGAGGGGCUGAGCAAAGCGAUAACAUAGCCAAUCAACGGUUUGCUAGGACAUGGUGGGUUAGAGGUUUGACAUGGCAAUUUGGGAGGCUUAAAAGCAAAUGGUAGGCAUCGUAGCAUUGGCAUAGCAAAAGAGCGAGCAAACUAGCAUAGCAAAGAUAGUAGUGAUUUCGAGGGUAUGACCAUCUUGCCUGCACAGUUGUUAGAGUUGACUGGAUCCUCGAAAGCAAACUCAACGGGCUCCUCGUUAGCAAACUCGUCUCUCGGCUCUACCCAAACAAGACAACCAAGCAACAAGGAUACAAUCAACCACGUGCAAAAUCAAACAACACGAUGCAAAGAUGAUAUGCUAUGUGGGAUGCGAUGCGGGAUGCAAAAUACAAGAUGUGACAGGAAAUGCAUGAACCUGGCCUCAACUUGAAAAUUCAAGUGUGCCACUGGAAAGAUGAGAUGAAAUCGCUUGAAAACUAUAUAAAGAACGCCGGAAUCGGAGUUACGGUUUGGAAAUGGCAAGCGAUUCAAAUAUGACACCGGUCUGCGAUUUACAGCAAGUAGGCAUCUAAAUGCAAUGGAAUGAACAUGCUACAGCACCCAAACAUGACAAAAAAUACAUGACAGGGAUGUAUACAAGAUGCUUAACAAAAGUCUAGCACUAAGCUACGGCCAAUUCAUCCAUUAACAGGUUCAAACAAGGAUGGCAAAAAAUACAAAUGACAAACAGAUCUCAGACUUAGUGAAGUUAACACUUGUCUGGAAUUUCAGAUCAGGUAGCCCUUUUCGGAGCAACAAAACUACAUGCUACAGGACCUGAACAUGACAAAGUAAAGCAUGGCAUGGAGCUACUCAAAGAUCUUAACAAAAGUCCCUUAGUGACCUUGAGCCAAAAGGGAUCAGAAAAUACAAUUGCAAGCAAGUGAACAUAGCAAAAACAUAAUCAGUUUUCAUACUUAGUGAAAACUGGAGCAAGCUGAAAUAUAACUCAAGUAGGCAUGUUUACGAGCUCGAUGCACUCACUACGGUGCAAGUCAUGGAAAGACAAACAUACACCCAUAAAGAAGGCACAAAAUUCAAGCUAGACAUAGUAAGAACAAUAGCAUAGCAUGCACGGAUCAACUACAACAUCACCGGCAAAAUUGCAAACAAGUUGAUAAUCUGCCCAGAUUCACAAAGUAGCAAAAGUAGAGCUCGAUUGACUCAAGUUAGGGUGCUCCAUAAUUGCAAACAAAGGCAUGGUUGGAUAGAGCACUACAAUAUUAACAAAACUCCCUUAAUUAUCAUCCUCAAAAGAGGCACGGAUCACUAGGAAACAACAUGAACAUAUGGCAUCAUGAGAUAAACAGGUCCAGGACUUAGUGAAAUUACUGUCCCUGAAAACAGAAUUAGCAAGUGCACCACUUUGCAAGCUUGCACAAGUCUCCACACACAUCACAAAAAUACAUGGGUUGCACCUCUGGAAAGAUGACAAAACCCUUAACAAAACACAUGUAGAACUCACGGGCAUAUCAUGCACACAAUAAUCAUGGCAAAAAUGACAAAAGUGCUAAACGGAGUAGCAGAUCUGACAAUUAACUCAAGUAGCCCUCUUCUAACAGCAUUUCGGGCAUCAAGAUGAGCUCAAAUGAAAAUGAUGCAAUGGAAUGAAAUGAUGUACUCUCUGAGAUGAACAUUUUGAUAUGCUAUAUACAUGAAUCGAAACUACGGAUGCAAAGUUACAGAGCUACGAACAUGUGCAUAUGGACUGAAAAUAUCUGGGACUUAGACGAAAAUGACCUAGGGUCUUUUGGAUCUAGAUCUCGCGCACGGAAAUUGAGGCGGGGCCGGGCCCUGUAGGCCAGCGGGGAAGGAGCUCGCCGGAGCCGGCGGCGGAAGCAGCGGCCGGGCGAGGCGGCGGCGGCGGNNNNNNNNNNNNNNNNNNNNNNNNNNNNNNNNNNNNNNNNNNNNNNNNNNNNNNNNNNNNNNNNNNNNNNNNNNNNNNNNNNNNNNNNNNNNNNNNNNNNNNNNNNNNNNNNNNNNNNNNNNNNNNNNNNNNNNNNNNNNNNNNNNNNNNNNNNNNNNNNNNNNNNNNNNNNNNNNNNNNNNNNNNNNNNNNNNNNNNNNNNNNNNNNNNNNNNNNNNNNNNNNNNNNNNNNNNNNNNNNNNNNNNNNNNNNNNNNNNNNNNNNNNNNNNNNNNNNNNNNNNNNNNNNNNNNNNNNNNNNNNNNNNNNNNNNNNNNNNNNNNNNNNNNNNNNNNNNNNNNNNNNNNNNNNNNNNNNNNNNNNNNNNNNNNNNNNNNNNNNNNNNNNNNNNNNNNNNNNNNNNNNNNNNNNNNNNNNNNNNNNNNNNGUGACAGCGCGCUAGUGGGCGCGGGCGGCGGCGGACAUUGUCCGGCCCGCUCUGAACACGUCCGGCGGCGGCGGUGGUGGAUCUAGGGUUAGGGGGGAGAGUGGAACCGCGAAUUUGAAGGAGGGGUCUAUUUAUAGGCAUAGAGGGAGCUAGGGGAGUCCAAAUGAGGUGCGGUUUUCGGCCACGCGAUCGUGAUCGAGCGCUCUAGAUGAUGAAGCAGAGCUAGGUGGGUUUUGGGCCAAUUUGGAGGGGUGUUGGGCUGCAACACACACGAGGCCUUUUCGGUCCCUCGGUUAACCGUUGGAGUAUCAAACGAAGUCCAAAUGGUAUGAAACUUGACAGGCGGUCUACCGGUAGUAAAUCAAGGCCGCUUGAUAAGUCUCGGUCCAAUCCGGAAAUGUUUAAUCCACACACACGAAAGAAAGCUAGAAAUGACCACCGGAGGAGAACGAAGCGCCGGAAUGCAAAACGGACAACGGGGAAAAUGCUCGAAUGCAUGAGACGAAGACGUAUGCAAAUGCAAUGCACAUGAUGACAUGAUAUGAGAUGCAUGACAAUGACAACAACACAUGGAGACAAAAACCCGAACCUGAGAAAAAUAAAAUAACUUAACGCCGGAAACGGCAAGAGUUGGAGUACAAAUAGGGAAAGUUACAUCCGGGGUGUUACAACACUCCACCACUACGAAAGGAUCUCGUCCCGAGAUCUAGGACUGAAAGAACGCCGGGUACUCAGAACGGAGGUGAUCCUUGCGUUCCCAGGUAGCUUCACGGUUGGACCACUUGACUUUGAGAAAUUUGAUUGACUUGUUGCGAGUCUUGCGUUCAGUCUCUUCAAGAAUAGCAACUGGGUGCUCACGAUAAGAGAGAUCUUCUUGUAGCUCAAUGUCCUCGAAGUUGACGGUGCGGUCAGGAGUCUUGAAGCACUUUCGAAGCUCAGAGACAUGAAACACAUCAUGAACAUUUGCAAAGUUUGAAGGAAGCUCGAGUUGAUAGGCGAGGUCGCCUCUCUUGCUGACAAUCUGCCCAGAUUCACAAAGUAACAAAAGUAGAGCUCGAUUGACUCAAGCUAGAGUGCUCCAUAAUUGCAAACAAAGGCAUGGUUGGAUAGAGCACUAUAAUAUUAACAAAACUCCCUUACUGAUCAUUCUCAAAAGAGGUACGAGUCACUAGGAAACAACAUGAACAUAUGGCAUCAUGAGAUAAACAGGUCCAGGACUUAGUGAAAUUACUAAGUCCCUGAAAACAGAAUUAGCAAGUGCACCACUUUGCAAGCUUGCACAAGUCUCCACACACAUCACAAAAAUACAUGGGUUGCACCUCUAGAGAGAUGACAAAACCCUUAACAAAACACAUGUAGAACUCACGGGCAUAUCAUGCACACAAUAAUCAUGGCAAAAAUGACAAAAGUGCUAAACGGAGUAGCAGAUCUGACAAUUAACUCAAGUAGCCCUCUUCUAACAGCAUUUCGGGCAUCAAGAUGAGCUCAAAUGAAAAUGAUGCAAUGGAAUGAAAUGAUGUACUCUCUGAGAUGAACAUUUUGAUAUGCUAUAUGCAUGAAUCGAAGCUACGAAUGCAAAGUUACGGAGCUACGAACAUGUGCAUAUGGACUGAAAAUAUCUGGGACUUAGACGAAAAUGACCUAGGGUUUUUUGGAUCUAGAUCUCGCACACGAAAAUCGAGGCGGGGCCGGGCCCUGUAGGCCGGCGGCGAAGGAGCUCGCCGGAGCCGACGUUGACGGCGGGAGGCGGCGGGGCGAGGCCGGUGGCCGGGCGAGGCGGCGGUGGCAGCGNNNNNNNNNNNNNNNNNNNNNNNNNNNNNNNNNNNNNNNNNNNNNNNNNNNNNNNNNNNNNNNNNNNNNNNNNNNNNNNNNNNNNNNNNNNNNNNNNNNNNNNNNNNNNNNNNNNNNNNNNNNNNNNNNNNNNNNNNNNNNNNNNNNNNNNNNNNNNNNNNNNNNNNNNNNNNNNNNNNNNNNNNNNNNNNNNNNNNNNNNNNNNNNNNNNNNNNNNNNNNNNNNNNNNNNNNNNNNNNNNNNNNNNNNNNNNNNNNNNNNNNNNNNNNNNNNNNNNNNNNNNNNNNNNNNNNNNNNNNNNNNNNNNNNNNNNNNNNNNNNNNNNNNNNNNNNNNNNNNNNNNNNNNNNNNNNNNNNNNNNNNNNNNNNNNNNNNNNNNNNNNNNNNNNNNNNNNNNNNNNNNNNNNNNNNNNNNNNNNNNNNNNNNNNNNNNGGCGGUGCGGGCGAGAGCCGCCGCGUGGCAGCGCGCUAGUGGGCGCGGGCAGCGGCGGACGUUGUCCGGCCCGCUCCGGACACGUCCGGCGGCGACGGCGGUGGAUCUAGGGUUAGGGGGGAGAGUGGAACCCCGAAUUUGAAGGAGGAGGUGUAUAUAUAGGCAUAGAGGGAGCUCGGGGAGUCCAAAUGAGGUGCGGUUUUCGGCCACGCGAUUAUGAUCGAACGCUCUAGAUGAUGGAGCAAAGCUAGAUGGUUUUUGGGCCAAAUUGGAGGGGUGUUGGGCUGCAACACACACGAGGCCUUUUCGGUCCCUCGGUUAACCGUUGGAGUAUCAAACGAAGUCCAAAUGGCACGAAACUUGACAGGCGGUCUACCGGUAGUAAAUCAAGGCCGCUUGACAAGUCUUGGUCCAAUCCGGAAAUGUUUAAUACCCACACACGAAAGAAAGCUAGAAAUGACCACCGGAGGAGAACGAAGCGCCGGAAUGCAAAACGGAGAACGGGGAAAAUGCUUGAAUGCAUGAGACAAACACGUAUGCAAAUGCAAUGCACAUGAUGACAUGAUAUGAGAUGCAUGACAAUGACAACAACACACGGAGACAAAAACCCGAACCCAAGAAAAAUAAAAUAACUUAACGCCGGAAACGGCAAGAGUUGGAGUACAAAUAGGGAAAGUUACAUCCGGAGUGUUACAACACUCCACCACUACGAAAGGAUCUCGUCUCGAGAUCUAGGACUGAAAGAACGCCGGGUACUCAGAACGGAGGUGAUCCUCGCGUUCCCAGGUAGCUUCACGGUCGGAAUGGUGUGACCACUUGACUUUGAGAAAUUUGAUUGACUUGUUGCGAGUCUUGCAUUCAGUCUCUUCAAGAAUAGCAACUGGGUGCUUACGAUAAGAGAGAUCUUCUUGGAGCUCAAUGUCCUCGAAGUUGACGGUGCGGUCAGGAGUCUUGAAGCACUUUCGAAGCUGAGAGACAUGAAACACAUCAUGAACAUUUGCAAAGUUUGAAGGAAACUCGAGUUGAUAGGCGAGGUCGCCUCUCUUGCUGACAAUCUUGAAAGGUCCCACGUAUCUGGGGGCAAGCUUCCCUUUGAUACCGAAGCGACGAGUACCUUUCAUAGGAGAGACACGGAGGUAAACAUGAUCUCCGUUCUCGAAAGCCAAAUCACGGUGCUUACUAUCAUAGUAGCUCUUCUGGCGGGAUUGGGCUGAUUUGAGAUUAUCUAGAAUGACUUUGCACAUUUUUUUCUGCCUCUGUGAUUAAGUCAUUACCCAAAAGCUGACGUUCACCGGUUUCAGACUAGUUGAGAGGGGUACGGCACUUCCUGCCAUACAGAAUUUCAAAUGGGGCCUUGCCCGAACUUGCUUGAAAACUGUUAUUGUAGGAGAAUUCAGCAUAAGGAAGACAAUCCUCCCACUUCAUGCCGAAGGAGAUCACACAAGCCCUGAGCAUAUAUUCAAGAAUCUGGUUGACACGCUCGACUUGACCGCUAGUUUGAGGAUGGAAAGUUGUGCUGAAACAGAUAUUGGUGCCCAUGGCCUUCUGAAAAGAAUCCCAAAACUUCGAGGUAAAGAUGCUGCCACGGUCUGAAGAGAUCACUUGUGAAAUACCAUGCAGAGAGACAAUACAAGAGGUAUAGAGUUCCGCCAAUUGAGCUGCAGUGAUCGACUUUUUGAUAGGCAUAAAAUGAGCAACUUUGAUGAGUUUGUCGAUGACAACGAAUAUAGCAUCAUUGCCACGCUUGAACUUUGAAAAGCCAGUCACGAAGUCCAUUUCAAUGUGGCCACGCUUGGACUCCUCAAGAACUUUGUUUGCCAGGUGUGGAUGCUUCUGUUUUGGUCAAAAAUUUCCGUGCGUUUUCGACACAUUUCGAUCGAAUUUCAUCAACCUGGAUUCGAGUGAAGGAGGUUAAUUAAUUUUCGCGGGUGAAAAAACACCGGAGCAAAGAACACGGUCGAUGUCAAGGGAAGAGUAGUUAUGGAGUUUAUAUCAGAAUGAUGAUGAUUGAUAGGCGGCGGACCAACACUUUUUCUGUUUGACAACAGCAAGCCAAGAUAGUAAGCCGGGAAUGGAUAUGGAUGGGGAUCACAUCAGCGGCCAGAUUAAUUCAUGGAAGCAGAGCACCUAGUAAUUGGGGCCCCAACUGGACUGUCAUAAACAGCAGAGAAUACCUUAUUCUGAAGAUCCAGACUAUUACCGAUCCAUAUACGCCCUUUGUAGGAGUAUAUAUAUAAUUAAACCUUGGACGAGCUAAUAGUUAGGCUUAGCAGAUGGACUGACAGACAUUUGUCGCAGUAGCUCCAGGGGCGGAGCCAGGGGGAACGAGUAGGGGCCUGCCCCCCCCCAAAUGAUCGACAAUUUUAGUAGCAGUGAUGAGUAAUUACCAAUGAGAUUAGAUCAAUAUAUGUACUCGGUCCCCCUAUACUCGAAUCCUGGCUCGGCCACUGAGUAGCUCAGUUGACUUAUCAUCUUGAGAGUAACUGGCUACAAUCUCUUCCAUCCACAUAGGUUGUGCUCUAGACAUAUGGAAGACAUGUAUUAGCUAGCCUUGUAGAUAAUGCAUCAAUAGCAAAAUUGUCAGUGCCCUUGUUGUAAACAAUUUGAUAAUUCAGUCCCAUAUGUUUUGUAAGAGCUUUUUGUUGCUAGAUAUUUUGCUGCUGAUAAUUCUAGACAAUUGGAAUAGUACGGAGUUCCUGAUUCUCCAAGCACACUAUUUUUUUUUUUGAUCGUUCUGAUAGUGAAUUGUUGGAUAGGUAGAUAAGAUAUCCACUGUUCCGUUGCUAACAAUAUUGAUAUAUACUCCUCAUACACUGGAAGGUAGAUAAGAUAUCCUGCAUUAAUGCAACACCAAUACCAGCAUCACAUGCAUCUAUCUCUUACUGAAGUGGUGUAGCGCUGGUUACCACCACUAGUGAACUCCAUGAAGAUAAAUGUAGACGGUGCGGUGGCGAGACAGGAUCAAGGCCUCCUUUGUAGGAUUUUUUAAGGAAUUUUAUAGGAUAGGAUUUGCAAAGGAAAAUUUUUUUUGAAGCCCUUUGGUUUGUAGGAAUAGAUUCCUAUUUCUAUGUAGGAUAGGAAUCAAUCCUUCACGUUUUGGAAGAAAAAAAACAUUAGCCUAGACUUAAUGAAAAAAUAUCCUAUCCUAUGCACCAAAUGACAUGUCUUUCUCUAUAAGAAUUGACAUGCAUGUCAUCUCACUUCCUAUGAUUUUCCUAUUCCUAUAAAAUUCCUAUCAUAUGAACCAAAGAUGGCCCAAAUAGGUGUGGCAGCAGGAAUUUGCUGUGAUCAUAACGGUGCAUACUUGGGAUCCUUGGCGGUCGUGUUGCAUGGUACAACCGACCCAACGGUCCUAGAAACGUAUGCUUGCCAGGAAUCUUUGGCACUUGCUGGGGAUGUGGGCAUGCAAAAAUCUACUCCCUCCGUCUUAUAAUAAAAAGGCGUUUUUUUUGCGAGAACACUUGUAUUACUCAAAUAUCAAUGUCUUUACAAUCAUCAAGGGAUAUACCCAAGACCUCAUCUGGCCUAGAUCCCAGCCAGGUCAUAGUUCGCUCCUCAAUUCUAGCAAACCUAGCCAAACUAUCACUAGCUUUAUUCCGGACUCUCAUAAUACGAGUAAUAUAAGUUGUCUAAGACGCAUCAGCAGUCUUAUUUCAACGCUACAUAAAAACACUCUUAUAUUAUGGAACGUGGGAGUAUAUUGCAUUGGAUUACGGAAGUGUUAUGAAAGACAUCAAGCAAGGUACUGGAGGCCCUCAUGGAGCAAUCGUAAAGGAGAUAGUAGAGAGUAUGAAGAGUUUUAAUUUUGGCAAUUUCAUUCACAAACAUAAACGUAAAAACUUUAAUUUUGAAGUUCAUAACCUCCCCAAGAUGCAUGGCUUGACCCAAACCUUGUACCUAUCAACAUUACUUUUUAUUAGGACCACCUAUCAACAUUAUUUUGGAUGAAUAAAGUUGGCGAGAUUUCUCAAAAAAAAAAGUAAUGCUGCUGUUGUCGAAAACACUUGCAUCAGAUACAAGUAAACUUGUUCUUGGGCUUCAGGGUUGGUGACCUGUUGGUCGCUGACGGAGACACUCCUCCGGCCGUACGUACGCCGGCUGGGCUUGUUUUCUUCUCUCCAUCUAGUAGCGUGAGAUUGAAGUAAAAUUACGUGCGUGCUGUGGUCAACAGGUCAUGGGUUCUUGCCGCGUUAACCUCAAGUCCUUAACUAGUUUCUCUUUCAGUGUGGAAGCACCGAUCUCUACGCCAAACUUGCAUCUCUUUUUCCCCUGAAAAAAACCUACUGUACUACGUAUCUCUCUGCCUCGUUCUUACGUUCAUAGAAAUGUCUCUCGGAGCAUCUCCGGCCAUUGGCCCCCAGGGGGCCUCGAAAAACCGCUGCCUGGGGGCGUCCCGACGCUAAAAUCGACUUAGGGCCAAUCGAGUUCUCAGCGGCCGGCCCCAGGGUCGCCCCCAGAAGGCGUUUUCAAAUUAUUUUUUUUUAAAAAGAUUCGGCUAUAAUUCGGCAAAUGGGUAUAAACUUUGGCGACUUAAAUAGUUUUUUACAUAGCGAACUUAAAAAUUACUUUAAAAAACAACCACCGCGACUAUAGGAAGAACUCGCUGAACUGGGCGAAGUCGCCACCAUCGCCGCCGCCGUCGUCCUUCUCCUCUUUCACGCGGCCGCUCCUGCUGGACCCCUGCCUAGAGUCGCCCUGGCGGACCGGUGGCGGAAUAACAUACCGAGGGCCUCUCGUCGGUAUCUCUAUUGAUGGUUAUGGUUUUCUGACCAUCGACAUUGGAUGUCAUUGAUAACGGGAUCACAUCAUUAGGAGAAUAAUGUGAUGGACAAGACCCAAUCCUAAGCAUAGCACAAGAUCGUGUAGUUCCUUUGCUAGGGCUUUUCUAAUGUUAAGUAUCAUUUUCUUAGACCAUGAAAUUGUGCAACUUCCGAAUACCGUAGGAUUGCUUUGGGUGUAUCAAACAUCACAACGUAACCGGGUAGCUAUAAAGGUGCACUACAGGUAUCUCCGAAAGUGUCUGUUGGGUUGGCACGAAUCGAGACUGGGAUUUGUCACUCCAUAUGACGGAGAGGUAUCUCUGGGCCCACUCGAUAAUGCAUCAUCAUAAUGAGCUCAAUGUGACUAAGGAGUUAGCCACGGGAUCAUGCGUUACGGAACGAGUAAAGAGACUUGCCGGUAACGAGAUUGAACGAGGUAUGGGGAUACCGACGAUCGAAUCUCGGGCAAAUAACAUACAGAUGGACAAAGGGAAUUGUAUACGGGAUUGAUUGAAUCCUCGACAUCGUGGUUCAUCCGAUGAGAUCAUCGUGGAACAUGUGGGGGCCAACAUGGGUAUCCAGAUCCCGUUAUUCACUAUUGGCCGGAGAGAUGUCUCGGUCAUGUCUGCAUGGUUCCCGAACCCGUAGGGUCUACACACUUAAGGUUCGGUGACGCUAGAGUUGUAAUGGGAAUAGUAUGUGGUUACCGAAGGUUGUUCUGAGUCCCGGAUGAGAUUCCGAACGUGACGAGGAACUCUGAAAUGGUCUGAAGGUGAAGAUUGAUAUAUUGGACGAAGGGUAUUGGAAUCCGAAAUUGUUCUAGGAGUACCGAGUGACGACCAGCAUGACAGAAAGGAGUUUCGGAGGACCCGACAAGCAUUGGGGGGCCUUAUGGGCCAAGGAAAGGGGGCACACCAGCCCACUAAGGGGCAGUGUGCCCCUCACACCCCAUCUCAUGUAACCUGGAGAGGUCGGGGCGCCUCCCCUAGGGCAGCCGCUGUUGGGGAACGUAGUAAUUUCAAAAAAUUUCCUACGCACACGCAAGAUAUGAUGAUGCAUAGCAACGAGAGGGGAGAGUGUUGUCUACGUACCCUCGUAGACCGACAGCGGAAGCGUUAUGACAACGCGGUUGAUGUAGUCGUACGUCUUCACGGCUCGACUGAUCAAGCACCGAAACUACGGCACCUCCGAGUUCUAGCACACGUUCAGCUCGAUGACGAUCCCCGGACUCCGAUCCAGCAAAGUGUCGGGGAAGAGUUCCGUCAGCACGACGGCGUGGUGACUAUCUUGAUGUUCUACCAUCGCAGGGCUUCGCCUAAGCACCGCUACAAUAUUAUCGAGGAUUAUGGUGGAGGGGGGCACCGCACACGGCUAAGAGAACAAUCACGAAGAUCAACUUGUGUGUCUAGAGGUGCCCCCCUGCCCCCGUAUAUAAAGGAGCAAGGGGGAGGCCGGCCGGCCCUUGGGUGCGCCAAGGAGGAGGAGUCCUCCUCCUAGUAGGAGUAGGACUCCCCUCUUUCCUACUCCUACUAGGAGGGGGAAAGGAAGGGGGAGAGGGAGAAGGAAAGGGGGGCACCGCCCCCCCCCCUCUCCUAGUCCAAUUCGGACCAGAGGGGGAGGGGGCGCGCAGCCCACCCUGGCCGCCCCUCUCUCUCUCUCCACUAGGGCCCAUAAAGCCCAUUACUUCUCCGGGGGGGGUUCCGGUAACCCUCCGGCACUCCGGUUUUCUCCGAAAUCACCCGGAACACCUCCGGUGUCCGAAUAUAGCCGUCCAAUAUAUCAAUCUUUAUGUCUCGACCAUUUAGAGAUUCCUCGUCAUGUCCGUGAUCACAUCCGGGACUCCGAACAAACUUCGGUACAUCAAAAUAUAUAAACUCAUAAUGAAACUGUCAUCGUAACGUUAAGCGUGCGGACCCUACGGGUUCGAGAACAAUGUAGACAUGACCCAGACAUGUCUCCGGUCAAUAACCAAUAGCGGAACCUGGAUGCUCAUAUUGGCUCCCACAUAUUCUACGAAGAUCUUUUAUCGGUCAGACCGCAUAACAACAUACUUUGUUCCCUUUGUCAUCGGUAUGUUACUUGCCCGAGAUUCGAUCGUCGGUAUCUCAAUACCUAGUUCAAUCUCGUUACCGGCAAGUCUCUUUACUCGUUUUGUAAUACAUCAUCUCGCAACUAACUCAUUAGUUGCAAUGCUUGCAAGGCUUAUGUGAUGUGCAUUACCGAGAGGGCCCAGAGAUACCUCUUCGACAAUCGAAGUGACAAAUCCUAAUCUCGAAAUACGCCAACCCAACAUGUACCUUUGGAGACACCUGUAGAGCUCCUUUAUAAUCACCCAGUUACGUUGUGAUGUUUGGUAGCACACAAAGUGUUCCUCCGGCAAACGGGAGUUGCAUAAUCUCAUAGUCAUAGGAACAUGUAUAAGUCAUGAAGAAAGCAAUAGCAACAUACUAAAUGAUCGGGUGCUAAGCUAAUGGAAUGGGUCAUGUCAAUCACAUCAUUCUCCUAAUGAUGUGAUCUCGUUAAUCAAAUGACAACUCAUGUCUAUGGCUAGGAAACAUAACCAUCUUUGAUUAACAAGCUAGUCAAGUAGAGGCAUACUAGUGACACUCUGUUUGUCUAUGUAUUCACACAUGUAUUAUGUUUCCGGUUAAUACAAUUCUAGCAUGAAUAAUAAACAUUUAUCAUGAUAUAAGGAAAUAAAUAAUAACUUUAUUAUUUCCUCUAGGGCAUAUUUCCUUCUGUCUCCCACUUGCACUAGAGUCAAUAAUCUAGUUCACAUCGCCAUGUGAUUUAACAUCAAUAGUUCACAUCUUUAUGUGGUUAACAACCAUAGUUCACAUCGACAUGUGACCAACACCCAAAGGGUUUACUAGAGUCUGUAAUCUAGUUCACAUCGCUAUGUGAUUAACACCCAAAGAGUACUAAGGUGUGAUCAUGUUUUGUUUGUGAGAUAAUUUUAGUCAACGGGUCUGUCAUAUUCAGAUCCGUAAGUAUUUUGCAAAUUUCUAUGUCUACAAUGCUCUGCACGGAACUACUUUAGCUAAUUGCUCCCACUUUCAAUAUGUAUCCAGAUGAAGACUUAGAGUCAUUUGGAUCAAUGCCAAAACUUGUAUCGACGUAACCCUUUUACGAUGAACCUUUUGUCACCUCCAUAUUCGAGAAACAUAUCCUUAUUCCACUAAGGAUAAUUUUGACCGCUGUCCAGUGAUCUACUCCUAGAUCACUAUUGUACUCCCUUGCCAAAAACAGUGUAGAGUAUACAAUAGGUCUGGUACACAGCAUGGCAUACUUUAUAGAACCUAUGGCCAAGGCAUAGGGAAUGACUUUCAUUCUCUUUCUAUCUUCUGCCGUGGUCGGGCUUUGAGUCUUACUCAAUUUCACACCUUGUAACACAGGCAAGAACUCUUUCUUUGACUGUUCCAUUUUGAACUACUUCAAAAUCUUGUCAAGGUAUGUACUCAUUGAAAAAACUUAUCAAGCAUCUUGAUCUAUCUCUAUAGAUCUUGAUGUUCAAUAUGUAAGCAGCUUCACCGAGGUCUUUCUUUGAAAAAACUCCUUUCAAACACUCCUUUAUGCUUUGCAGAAUAAUUCUACAUUAUUUCCGAUUAACAAUAUGUCAUUCAUAUAUACUUAUCAGAAAUGUUGUAGUGCUCCCACUCACUUUCUUAUAAAUACAGGUGAGGGAGUCCUGGAUUAGGGGGUAUCCGGAUGGCCGGACUAUACCUUCGGUCGGACUCCUGGACUAUGAAGAUACAAUAUUGAAGACUUCGUCCCGUGUCCGGAAGGGACUUUCCUUGGCGUGGAAGGCAAGCUUGGCGAUACGGAUAUGUAGAUCUCCUACCAUUGUAAUCUACUCUAUGUAACCCUAACCCUAUCCGGUGUCUAUAUAAACCGGAGGGUUUUAGUCCGUAGGACAACACAUUCAUACACAACAAUCAUACCAUAGGCUAGCUUCUAGGGUUUAGCCUCUCUGAUCUCUUGGUAGAUCUACUCUUGUACUACCCAUAUCAUCAAUAUUAAUCAAGCAGGACGUAGGGUUUUACCUCCAUCGAGAGGGCCCGAACCUGGGUAAAACUUCGUGUCCCUUGCCUCCUGUUACCAUCCGGCCUAGACGCACAGUUCGGGACCCCCUACCCGAGAUCCGCCAGUUUUGACACCGACAUUGGUGCUUUCAUUGAAAGUUCCUCUGUGUCGUCGCCGUCAGGCUCGAUGGCUCCUACGAUCAUCAAUAGCGAUGCUGUCCAGGGUGAGACCUUCCUCCCGGACAGAUCUUCGUCUUCGGCGGCUUCACACUGCGGGCCAAUUCACUUGGCCAUCUGGAGCAGAUCGAAAGCUACGCCCCUGGCCGCCAGGUCAGAUUUGGAAGUUUAAACUACACGGCUGACAUCCGCAGGGACUUGAUCUUCGACGGAUUCGAGCCACUACCGAGCGCGCCGCACUGUCACGACAAGCAUGAUCUAGCUCUGCCACCGAACAGUGCCCUGGAGGCCGCACCCGCAUCGGCUUUGACCCUUAAUUCGGAGCCUACUACGCCGAUCGAGGAUGGGUGGUUGGACGCCGCCUCGGGGGCUGCGAUCCCAACGGCGAUCGAUCCGAACACCAGCCCCGCACUCCGUGAGACUCGUGACUCUAGGGAGCUGGACUCCUCUCCGGACUCCGAACCCUCCGCGCCCUUGCCGAUCGAAUCCGAUUGGGCGCCGAUCAUGGAGUUUACUGCCGCGGAUAUCUUUCAGCACUCGCCUUUCGGCGAUAUUCUGAAGACACUAAAGUCUCUCUCUCUCUAUCAGGACAGCCCUGGCCGAGCUACGGUUAGCAAGGUUGGGAUACGAACGAUGAAGAAAUUCAAAGCCCACCCACCACCCACCUUAUAGCCACUGUCGACGAUUUAACCGAUAUGCUCGACUUUGACUCCGAAGUUAUCGACGGUAUGGACGCCGACGCAGGAGACGAUGAAGAACCAGCACCUAUUGAGCCCUGGAAAGCCACCUCGUCAUAUGACGUAUACAUGGUGGACGCACCAAAAGAUGAUGACGAGGAGCGAAAGGACGCAACGAAGGCUUGUUCCCUCGAGAAGCAGUCAAAGCGGCGACGCAAGCGCCGCCCCAAAUCCCGCCUCGACAGAAAUAACGAUCACACAGACCCAGCGCUGGAGCAUGGCGAACCGCUGCCAGACAACGGCAAUCCGGAUAAUCAAACCGAACAAACAAAUUCUAUCAAGGAUAAUAGUCCGGACGAUAUAACGCCGGACAGGCACCCGGAGCAGUAGAAUGCCCGUAAAAGGCUUGUUGCAACCGCGAGGAGUCUCAAAAAGCAAAAGCAAAGGGCUGCACAAGACACACUCCAAAUUAGAUGGAGUAAAAUACUCAACACAGCAGCGAGGUACGGCGACAAUCGCCCCUCCAAGAGCUACCCAAAGCGGAAGCUGCUACCCGAAUUCGAUACUCAGACCCUCCACAACCAAACAUCAAAGCAGCCACCUGGCCAGAUAGACGACCCCUCUACCAACACAGGGCGGCAUACAACGCCACUCACAAUACAACACGCGACCCAGGCGAGGGCUCGCACCCAAAGGACGGCACAACAAGAUCCAUCUAUGGACCACGCAAGCGCGCCCCAGCAUACAAUGCAAUACAACAAACAUCCGAACAACGCGGCACACCCAGCUACAGGGGUGCCGCACACCCCCUGUGUUUCACCGAUGAGGUGCUGGACCAUGAAUUCCCAGAGGGAUUUAAACCCGUAAACAUAGAGGUAUACGACGGAACAACAGACCCUGGGGUUUGGACUGAGGACUACAUCCUCCAUAUCCAUAUGGCUCGAGGAGAUGAUCUCCAUGCCAUCAAGUACUUACCCCUUAAGCUCAAAGGGCCAGCUCGUCACUGGCUUAAAGGCCUCCCCGAAAGCUCCAUUGGAAGUUGGGAACAGCUUGAAGACGCCUUUCGGGCAAAUUUUCAAGGGACUUAUGUCCGGCCUCCGAAUGCGGACGAUUUGAGUCAUAUAACUCAACAGCCCGGAGAGUCAGCUCGAAAGCUUUGGAACAGGUUUAUUACUAAAAAGAACCAGGUUGUCGACUGUCCGGACGCCGAAGCCUUGGCAGCUUUUAAGCAUAGCGAUUACUCAGCAAGUAUCCGGCGUGCAGGAUGGGCUCCCCUGGUAUUAGACCCAGUAAUUGGUGGAUAUCACUUCACACGAGUAUUGAUGGACGGUGGCAGCAAUCUAAACCUAAUAUAUCAGGAUAUAAUCCGCGGGAUCGGGUUAGACCCAACAAAAAUUCGCCAUAGCAAUACUACCUUUAAAGGAGUAACGCCAGGCCCAGGGGCUCGCUGUACGGGCUCCCUACUACUACAAGUUAUAUUCGGCUCCCCCGAUAACUUCCGUCGCGAGUAUUUAACCUUCCACAUCGCUCCGUUCCGAAGUGGCUAUCAAGCACUGCUCGAACGCGAAGCUUUCUCUCGCUUUAAUGCAAUACCACACUACGCCUCCCUCACACCCAAGAUGCCCGGUCCACGUGGCAUCAUUUCAGUGAACGGAAAUAUCAAGCAAUCUCUGCGCACCGAAGAGAGUGCGGCUGCCUUGGCAGCCGCACACUAAAGGCGCCCGGACCAUCGAAAGCAUCCAAUAGGUCGUCAAGACCUCAGACACAACUAACCAAGUCCGGUGCCGCUAUUUAUACCGAAUAAACGGUCACGCCCCUAUUUGCAAGGGGCUCAACGCGCGCAGACAAGUGGCAAUCUUUUCUCAUCUUGAAUUAUACAUGGUUUCUUUAAAAACUAUCUUUUUGCACGACAACUUUUUCACCUAAAUUCCUCUCCUUUACAGACGAUCAUCGUGCUACACCCGUCCAGGAUACGGCACAACGGAGACACAGGCGCAGACAUGUAGCAGGGACCCGCUCCAAGGAUUCUUUUUAGAUUAAGACCCUGCGUAAACCUUUUUUACUGUCUCUUGUUGAUACAUAUCCACCAUUGAGAAGGAUGCUGACGUCUUGGCAUGUGGCCAUGCCAGAACAAUGCACGUACCUGGACACAAGGGGCUUCUUACAAAGGCCAUUAUUCAGGCCCGGUUUAUACCACAAAGACCGAAUACCUUAGGGAGUGUCCGGCGUCGCGAGUUUGGCCCUAUAUGCAUCAACUCUGAAUCAUUGUCUUUGGUCAAAUGUUGGGUUUGCCCGGCUCUUGUGUUUUGGUGCCUUACGUCACUACUAGGAAAAGGGCUACUAAUGGCGCACCAGUUUUGCCUACUAAUGGCGCAUCACUGGUGCGCCAUUAGUAUCACGCCACUAGUAUUUUUUACUAAUGGCGCAUCACUGGUGCGCCAUUAGUAUAGGCCAUGGUGCGCCAUUAGUAUAGGCCACUGGUGCGCCAUUAGUAUAGGCCACGGUGCGCCAUUAGUAUUUUUGAAUUUUGAAGGCGGGAAAAUAGUAGUGGCGCACCGUCUAACCCCCACCGUGCGCCAUUGCUAUUUUGGAAUUUUGAAUUUGGAUCUGGAUCGUGAUUUUUUUGCCCAUUUUUUGCUCAUUUUUUGGCACGAUAUUAUUUCAAAUUUUGUUCAUGUUUUUGGAUCUUGUACAUUCUUUUGCCGGAGAGGAGUUCGCUGGAGAGGAGGAGGAGGAGGUCACCGGAGAGGCGAUCGCCUACAUCACCGGAGAGGAGGAGGAGGUCGCCGGAGAGGAGUUCACCGAAGCAUCGGAGAGGAGGAAGGAGAAACCAUGAGGGAAUGGGAGGAGAGGAGGGAGGAGGAGCUCACCGGAGAGGAGGGAGGAGAAACCGUGAGGGGAGGGGANNNNNNNNNNNNNNNNNNNNNNNNNNNNNNNNNNNNNNNNNNNNNNNNNNNNNNNNNNNNNNNNNNNNNNNNNNNNNNNNNNNNNNNNNNNNNNNNNNNNNNNNNNNNNNNNNNNNNNNNNNNNNNNNNNNNNNNNNNNNNNNNNNNNNNNNNNNNNNNNNNNNNNNNNNNNNNNNNNNNNNNNNNNNNNNNNNNNNNNNNNNNNNNNNNNNNNNNNNNNNNNNNNNNNNNNNNNNNNNNNNNNNNGCCGGAGAGGAGGAGGUCGCCGGAGAGGAGGAGGGUAGUAUGAUGGAGGAAAGAAGGGAAGAUGGAGUGGAGGAGAGGAGGAGAUGGAGUGGAGGAGAGGUGGACUGGAGGAGAAGAAUGAAGAGGUAAGGAGGAGCGGAGUACGCCCAGCUAUAUAUACGGCAUAGUAAUGGCGCACUAUGGGCAGGUGCGCCAUUACUAAAUUUUUUUAUUUUUUUAUUUAUUUUGAAUUUUGAAGGCGGGAAGAUACUAAUGGCGCUUCAUGGGCAGGUGCGCCAUUAGUAAUUUUUUUAUUAUUAUUUUUGACUUAUUUUGAAUUUUGAAGGCGGGAAGAUACUAAUGGUGCACCAUGGGCAGGUGCGCCAUUAGUAACUUUUAUUUUUAUUUUUGACUUAUUUUGAAUUUUGAAGGCGGGAAGAUACUAAUGGCGCACCAUGGGCAGGUGCGCCAUUAGUAAGUUUGAAUUUUUUUUGAAUUUUUUUGCCUCUCCAGAUCUUAAAAGCCCCGUAUCUUUUUUUCUGUUAGGUUUUUGAGGAUUUUGAAAAUGUUUAAUGGGGUUAAAUUCGGAUGUAACUUUUCGAGUAGAUGAUUUUUCAUAUAAAAAACUUUUUCAUCCGAGUUCGUACGCAAAAGUUAUGCCCAUUUUUACAAAUUCUCGAGAGAUUUUGCAAAAAAGUCGAAAAUUCAUGUUUGUAAAUUUUCACAACAACUAGACCACAUAUCACAUGGGAAUCUUAUUUUCUUUUAUUUUUUUGACAUUUCUAUUAUUUUAUUUUAUUUUUUUUAAACUGAAAAGCGGUCCACGGGGGGCGAGGGGGGGGGUGCAUUCGAGCGAAUGUUUGGGCCAAGUUACUAAUGACGCACCGUGGCAUGAUGCGCCAUUACUAGUUCAACUAGUAAUGGCGCACCACUCCCACGGUGCGCCAUUAGUAGUUUUGAAAAAAUUAAAAAAAAUUACUAAUGGUGCACCGUGGAUUUGGUGUGCCAUUACUAGUUCAACUAGUAAUGGCGCACCACUCCAACGGUGCGCCAUUAGUAGUUUUGAAAAAAUUAAAAACAAUUUUUUUACUAAUGGCGCACCAACACAUGGUAUGCCAUUAGUAUAUAGUAAUGGCGCACCACAUGUCUGGUGCGCCAUUAGUGUCAAUUCCAUCUAUAGCCCUUUUCCUGGUAGUGCGUUCCGCUUUACCGGCUAAGAUAGCAUCAGGAGAACUACUGCGAUUGUGCCCUGGUUCAUCCGGACGAGCACCUCAGUAGAGAAAGCUGAAAACUGACUGUCAUGAUAUAGCGUGAGACUGGUCCACCACUCGAUGACCUGUUGGAAUGAUAGAAUUCCUCUGCCUUAACGAAGGGCCACUUUCCGGCCAGGCAUGCACGCACCCCGGGAUCGGGAGAGUGCGGAGCCACCAGGGGCUAUCUAGCAAACUCUCAUGGCUAAGUGAAAGUGCUAAAGCAUUAUAGCCCGGUUGCCUCGCUCGUUCCGCUAUCACCUCCUUAAUAGGACCAAGACGUUGGGUUAAGUGUGAACGCGUGUUUUUGCGAGCACCUCCGCAUUAUAUGCGUGGGGGUUGAAGCCGACGGCUGCAAUCUUUCAGGUUAUACACAUGUAUACAUAAAUGGACGCCCAGGAGGCAUCAUAUUACUUUCAGAAAAAAGUAUAAAUAUAGCCUUAUAAAACUUUAUAAAAGCAUUUUCGCUUACAAUGAGAUUACAUAUCACUCAAACAUAAUAUUUUUUGAGCACUGGGUCUCUAUCAAACGAGCACCCUCAAGAACUUCUUCAAAGUAGUGCUCAGCAGCCAUUCGGCCUAUCGCCGAAUCCCGCGCUGCAACAGGGGUGGCAUCCAUCUCCGCCCAGCAUGCUUUAACACGGGCAAAGGCCAUCCGUGAGCCCUCUAUGCACGCCGACCUCUACAUCGCAUUGACGCGCGGCACCAUGUCAAGGAACUGAUGCACUAAGCUGAAAUAGCUGUUCGGUUUCGGUUUUUCUGGCCAUAGCUGAUCCACAACAGACCUCAUCACUACUAGGAAAAGGCAUGCUAGUGGCGCACGGAAUUUGCCUUCUAAUGGCGGACUACCGGUGUGCCACUAGCAUCACGCCAUUAGAAUUAAAUUCUAAUGGCGCACCACCGGUGCGCCAUUAGUAUCUGGUGUUCUAAUGCUGCACCACGUAGAGCGCCAUUAGUAUAGCCUGCAGUGCGCCAUUAGAAUGCCUCCCAGGGGGCCAUAUGUACCCAUGUGCUUUGGCAUUCUAAUGGCGCACCAGCAGUUAAUGCGCCAUUGGUGUGAUGAUCACAGUGCGCCAUUAGUGUCUUGUCUGGUGCGCCAUUAGUAUGAAUAUUAGGUUUUUUUUUUGCUUUUCUGAUUUUUGCACAGGUUACAAAAUAUAUUAUUGGACAGAAUAUAGACAGCAGCACACAGCAACAUCAGAUUCAUCAAAUACAAUAGAAGAUUAGUCUCCGAAUACAAUUCAUCAUAUUAGUCUCUGAAUUCAAAAGACCGAACAAAGAUAAAACAUUACAAGUCUCAAGACCGCGAGUAUCGAGUUUGUCGGAAGUAAUACUAAUCCUAACAAGUCCUACUAAUCAUCAUCAUACAACUUCUACUCGUUAUUCAUAACAAGUCAUACGAUCAUCAUCUUGAUAGUCUUCGAACCAAUCCUACUUAAUUGUUCUUAGCACAUGAUCAUCAGUAUUAGGCAGGACCUAAAUACCCUAUUUAAGCUAAAAUAGCACAAAACAAUAUAGACCCUGACUCUCCAUUAUGGAGAAUGGAGAACAUCAUGUCUCCAAUUCUUGCGCUUCGCUUCCUUUUGCUUCCAAGAAGCUCCUUACGACUGUCCAUACAUUUUUUUUUCAUCCUUUGAUUUUCAUGUCUCCACUUCUUUUAGAAAUCUCGUAUGGACAGUUGAGAUUCGUAGGACGACCUGGCUGUAUGUUCAAAACAUUAACACUACCUUUUAGAUACAUCAUAUGAGGCACACAAUUCUCUGGGAUUAUCUGUUGAAAAACAUAGUAAUAACUUCAUAGUUAGCAAUGAUGUACUAGUUUUAGAAGUAUGCAAAAGAUGCACGGAUGUCGUAAUAGUAAAAAUCUUACCAGGGUAUCUCCAUGGUAGUUACCGUAGUUGAACACAUGCACUAGUGGCACGUAUUUACCAUAAUGUUGAGGAGUUUGAUUGUAGAUAUUGUAAUUCUCAAUGUCAGUACAAAAUCCGACCAAAUGAUUUUUCUCCUUGUAAGUUGUUAAUUCGGAGCAUCGGUGUAGUGGGUUUUGUCUACCAUCUCCCGCACAUUCUUUGAACAAUAAAAAUAAGCUGUCAAUGGAAAUAAGCUGUCAACUAUUUUAAAAUAAACAAUAUAAAUUAGCUAAUAACUAUGUUUGAGAAACUCGCAUAGCGGUAGAACUGGAGGCGUAUCAACAAGGACCCAAAUGUCCAUAUUGUCUUGGUUGAUGUCAGGAUUACCAAGAUCCAUGGUGAUAAGCAUACCCUCAUCAAAACCAUACAUCUUGCAAAAUGCUUCCAAUUUUUGCAACCAAAAUGGGUUACGCUCUCAGAAUUAUAUAGAUUUACUUCAAAGUCCACAUCGUGGUGAGUCCUUAGGUGAAUUUUCUUUGUUUCAGAAAUUUCAUGGUCUUCAAAAUCCAUCCUCUGCAAGACAUAGCGUCUUGCAUGGCAUGUGAUAAGCUAUACUCGAAUUGUAAAAGAUGAAAAUUACACGUUGAAAUAGUUGAAGUCAUGCUUAAUUAUGAAAAAAAACACUUGUCGUCGUUGUGUACCGUUUCAACUUCGAAGGUCUCCUCGAGCUUAAUGCUGAAGCGCCGAUCAUCGUCCAGGUGAGGCAUGUCGCAUAGACCUCGAUUGUCGUGGCACCAGUCGCACUCCGCCGGGAGACUUUCGUCGUCCGAUGAUGAUGACGACAUAUCCUACGUUCAUAAUUCAAAACUACAUCAUUUAGGGUUUGUCGACAUCGAGGCACCCUAAAAGCCUAAGCUUUCAUCAUUUAGGUUUUGUCGAUGCCGAGGCACCCUAAAAGCCUAAGCGUACAUCAUUUAAGUUCUCAUCGACACCGAGGCACCCUAGGUUGGGCCUAAUCACUUGGCACUAAUCACUUGGCUCUAUUGCCACCUAUGUUGGGUUUAUCAUCUAGGGUUUAUCGAUGCUAACGAGAAUUCUAAGUUGGGCCUAAUCACUUGGCUCUAUUGCCACCUAUGGUUUAAUACAGCAAGAAUAAAAGGGCGGUUGAUCCUACUUAAUUAAGUACUAAGAUACCCCGGCCCAUGCAUUAGUAGCAAGUACCUCAUAUGUCCGAUUUUUAGCAAAGUCAUGCUAAAAUUCACGGAAAAUUUCAGCAUGACCUUUGUUGAAAAUAGGACAUAUGGAGUACCCGAAUUUGCCGGAACGGAAGUUAAUCGACAUUUUGGCAAACUCAAGGGCCUCUCGGGGUACCUGCAAAAUCAUCACGACACGAAGGGCCUCUCAAGGGCCUCAAGCAGCAGCGGCGUCUCCCAGGACCCCAUUUUUUUUGCUAAAUUUCCUUGAGCAACAAUCAGAGCAGAAAAUUCAGCAUAUUUCUAUACAACAGCACUGUAAAGAUGAAGAACAGUUCUACAGCAGCCCAUUUAUAUACAAUAGCAUCUUUGGUCAUACCAAUUUCUGAAACAAUUCAAAUCUGAACUGUAUCUUUGGUCAUACAAAUCUCUGAAACUAUACAAAUCUGAAAUAUAUAUUUGGUCAUACAAAUUUAUGGAACUAAUCAAAUCUGAAUUGUAUCUUUGGUCAUACAAAUCUCUAAAAAAUUUCUAAAUCUGUGGUCAUACAAAUUUAUGGAACUAAUCAAAUUAUGAUAGCUGGACACAUAAAUUAUGAUAGAUUGUGAUAGCUUGGGGAAUAGAUUAUGAUAGAUUGUGGAAACAGAACCGCGCCAAGGCUGACACAUCUCUGCACCAUGGAGUGUUCCUUUUUCUCAAUUCCCCAAGCAGCCUGGCGCUGCUCCAUGACCUGACCUUUUAUACUAUUAUGAACAAAAGCAUCUACCUCGAAAAUCUCCAGUACAUAGACCACGAGUAGAACAAGUCCAUGCAUCACAAAGUCACACAAAUUAGAGUGAUAGCACCAACAAUUUCGAGCUCCCUGUGCUACAAAGCAGCCCCGGAAUCUCAGACGGGCAGUCCGACUGGUGACAGGGUCCAAACCGAAAGCUAUAUGCUACCACAAUCUAUCAUGAACACGGCCCAAACGAAGUCAAUUCUACACUACAUCUGACAGACUACUCCGUGUUCUCUCAGAUUUCCUCCACUCGCCGAGAUGGGUUCCCACCAGCCCAGCCAUCCCCGCCUCUCCUCUCUCGCACGCACGCAGCAACCCAGGAAAACACAAGACAAGCAGUAGAAUCUCUGCUCUACCGGGAGGCAACGAAGUGGCCAAGGUCACAGGGGGCGAUACCUGAGCGGAAGCCCUAGGCAAGCGCGAGGGGGCGGAGCGCUGCUGCUGUUGCUUGGGGACGGUGAGGUCGGAGUGGGCGGCGCGGGAAGGCGGCGGGUGGCGGGGGAGGGGGUUCCGCCGAUCCGGCCGGAGGGGCGAGAGGUGGGAGGAGACGAGGCGGCGGCACGGUCGGGUGGGUGCGUGGGGCACUCCUUCCUGGUCCGGACUGGCCACGCUGCUCGGGGACGGCGAAGGAGGCGAGGGGGGCGGCGAGGGGGACNNNNNNNNNNNNNNNNNNNNNNNNNNNNNNNNNNNNNNNNNNNNNNNNNNNNNNNNNNNNNNNNNNNNNNNNNNNNNNNNNNNNNNNNNNNNNNNNNNNNNNNNNNNNNNNNNNNNNNNNNNNNNNNNNNNNNNNNNNNNNNNNNNNNNNNNNNNNNNNNNNNNNNNNNNNNNNNNNNNNNNNNNNNNNNNNNNNNNNNNNNNNNNNNNNNNNNNNNNNNNNNNNNNNNNNNNNNNNNNNNNNNNNNNNNNNNNNNNNNNNNNNNNNNNNNNNNNNNNNNNNNNNNNNNNNNNNNNNNNNNNNNNNNNNNNNNNNNNNNNNNNNNNNNNNNNNNNNNNNNNNNNNNNNNNNNNNNNNNNNNNNNNNNNNNNNNNNNNNNNNNNNNNNNNNNNNNNNNNNNNNNNNNNNNNNNNNNNNNNNNNNNNNNNNNNNNNNNNNNNNNNNNNNNNNNNNNNNNNNNNNNNNNNNNNNNNNNNNNNNNNNNNNNNNNNNNNNNNNNNNNNNNNNNNNNNNNNNNNNNNNNNNNNNNNNNNNNNNNNNNNNNNNNNNNNNNNNNNNNNNNNNNNNNNNNNNNNNNNNNNNNNNNNNNNNNNNNNNNNNNNNNNNNNNNNNNNNNNNNNNNNNNNNNNNNNNNNNNNNNNNNNNNNNNNNNNNNNNNNNNNNNNNNNNNNNNNNNNNNNNNNNNNNNNNNNNNNNNNNNNNCUCGUCGGCGGUGGUGGAGCGGGGGAGGGUUGCUGUGGGUCGUCGGCGGCGGUGGAGCUAGCGGGGGAGGGUGCGGGUGGGAUCGAGAUGGAGGGGGGUCGACAUCGAGAUGGAGGGGGAAUCGAGAUCGAGAUGGAGGGGGAUCAAGAUCAAGUGUCCUCAUGAAUUCAAAAAGUGCCCAUGAAAUAUAAAAAUAUUCAUGAUAUCAAAAAGUGCCCAUGAAAUACAAUCGAGAAAUGAAGACUACGAUUUAAAUACACUCGAUCUUAGCUAGCUAUCUGUUCACAAUCUUCUUGCCCUUCUUUUUCGCAAAUGGAGUUCUUCUGUGGAAUGGACGUCCUUUAGGUAGGGUGGUCCUGCUUCUUCUUAUGGUGUGUGCUGCUACUUCGUCGUCGUCGUCAUGUUCGAUCUUCGGGUCGCCGUACUUGUCGAAGUCUUACUCAUUGGCUACUCCAUCCAUUCCGAUGAUCUUCCUUUUGCCUCUCCUCACGACAACAUGACUGGGCUUUGACGGGUCGGUAAUGAAGAAGCAUUGGUCCACUUGGGAAGCCAAUACCCAUGGCUCAUUUUUCGCGGUGACGUUUGCGCCCGCGGUCUUGGAUUUGGCUUCGGGUAUAACCAUGGUGGUGAAAUACCGGUCUUCUUUUAGGACGCUCUUGGCCCAUCUGACACAAACAUAUAUGCAACACCACAAACACAUGCAACACCACAAACAUACAUAGAUCUAGUUAGGCCACAAAAAGUGCAUGUGCACGUUGUUGGAGCGAGCUAGGGAGAAAAAAAGUAGAUCUACAUCAUGAAGAUAGCUUUCCCCUUACUUACCUAUCAAAAAAGGUAAUUUCACCACUUAAUUUUGAUGAAUCUAUGGUGGAAAUGAGGUGAGGAGGAGGAGAUGGCCAAAAUCUUGGAGAAGGAGGUGGAGGGAAUGAAGUGGGGAAAGUGAGUGGGUAGGUGUGGGGCUGUCCAAAAUAUCUUGUUGGGGUCCCAGGUUACUAAUGACGCACCACCAGCAAAUGCGCCAUUAGUAACCCUGGUUACUAAUGGCGCACCUGCAGGUGGUGCGCCAUUAGUAGUUUUGCAAAAAAGUAAAAAUAAAUAAAUAUAUAUACUAAUGGCGCACCGGGUAACAGUGCGCCAUUACUAGUUUAAACUAGUAAUGGCGCACUGUGAAACGAUGCGCCAUUAGUAGUUUUGCAAAAAAAAAAGAAUAAUUUUUUUUACAGUAAUGGCGCACUGUCUGCUUGGUGCGCCAUUACUACUUAGAACUAGUAAUGGCGCACUUCGACCUGAUGCGCCAUUAGUAUGUAUGGAAAAAUAGAAAAAAUAAUAAUUUAAUAUAGUGGCGCACCCUGUUUCUGGUGCGCCAUUAGUAUAUAGUAGUGGCGCACUGCUUCCAUGGUGCGCCAUUAGUAUCAAUCCUAUCUAUAGCCCUUUUCCUAGUAGUGCAUGGCGCGUCCGGACAACCUAUUCAGUUCGGCCCAUUCGACUAAUUGGUCAGUCAAUGAAAGUGGACGCUCGGGAGAAUGGAAUUGUGUCCAAAACAGCUGGUCCACUUCACGGUCCGUUUGACCCUGGAAGUACUUGACCGCAUCGACAGCGCUCGCCGCCAAAUCCAUAUACACAUCCUCCGAACUCCACAGCCGAUCCAGAGGGGCAUACCGUGGAUCUCCGAACUUCCUCCGCAACAUAAAUGAUUUCCCAGCUACAAUAUCCCCGGCUUCUCGCAGCUCCUCCUUCUUUGCCCUCAUAGAAGAGCGGAGGUCUUUUCUCGUCGCAGUAGCCUUCUCAAGGUCCGAUGCCUUCGCCUGGUUUUCCUUUUCAAGAACCCGGCAACGGUCGGCGGCGGCUUUUAAUUCUAUGGCCAUCUUGGCCAUCUUAUCUCAGCUCUCACCAUGCGCGGCCUUCUCGGCUUGCAACUCUUCGGCCGCCUUCAAAGCAGCCGCAUUACCCAACCUCGCUUGUUCCUUGGCUCGGGCAAGUUCUGCCUGCAAGGCUUCAACAGUGGCAGCUCCAUCUGCAGUCACAACAUAUUAAAGAUACUGGCAUCAUGCUGCUCUUCCUAUGUGGCGUUUACCAGAUAAUGACACUUACCAUGUGCCUCGUCAAGCCUUUUGUUAACAAGCUCGAUGUCGGUGUCUGCCGCAUCUAACUGCCGUUUUAAAUAGGCAAACUCGCUAGUCCGGCUAGCCACCGGAGCUUCCAUCACCUGCACAUAGAGGCAGUAUGAUUAUUACCUGGGAAUAUGAUCCUCUGUUCGUCGUCGUUUCCGACGACCACCAGAGUCUCAGGGGCUACUAUCUACACAGGGCACACCUAGCAUGUGCAGGACUAUUAUACAUUAUUUUACGUACCUCAAAGCCUGUCAGUAGACUCAUAAAAGCUUUAUGCAAUCCGCUUUCGACGGACAAGAUUCUCUCCAUCACCGUAUUCAUCAGCAUACGGUGUUCAUCUGAGAUGGCCGCUCGCCCCACCAACUCCCUCAGAACAUCCGAUCACGCACCAGACGGUGUCGGACUCUUUUGUCUGUUCUCUUCGGGAGCCGGACACUGGGAGCUUGGGGGGUCAAUGGGAUUAUCUUCUGGCCUCACCGGAUUCGGAGAGGCCCUCCGCGACGACACUUCGGGGUCGCCCGCUUCUGGAGCGGAGGAGUCCGGAGGAUGCGUUUCGCUCUCCAUCAUCUCUGGAAGAAGAUCCCCCGAAGACGAACUCAUUUGAGAGGGGCUAAGGCCCGAACUGCAAAGAUAUAUGCGGUGGUUAUUUUCUCAGAAGAAAAAGAUGGCAUACCUAUACUAUUAAAGUAUUUCGGGUCACUUACAACUCGCUGGAGGAUUGAUCCCCCCGCGGACUUAGUGCGGCAAAAGCACCCCCCGAGGUAGGACCCUCUGUGGGAGACUUCUUCUCCCGCUUGGAAGCUUCGGCUUCUGAAUCCCCGGGCGCAGUCCUUUUCCUCCUCCGGUCGUCUUCCUUCAUGGAGACACUCGCUCCCUCGGUUAGAAUGGGCAGCGUUGGGGGCCCGCGUCCGCCUGUAUUAUCCUCCCCGGUAUCUUCCUUCAAGGGCUCCAGGCAGGGUGCGACCUGGAGCAUCUUUUCCAGUACCGGAUUUUCCAAACCCUCAGGGAGGGGGGCGGACACCGAAUCAACUUCUCCUUUGUUAGCCAGUCCUGGUCAAAAUGUGAACUCUCAGAGAUAACUUCGUAACAAAUGAGAGAUAGUAUGUUCGGCCGGAAGAUUCAUUACCUGUUCGGCGGCGCGGUUAUUGCUCAGGCCCACGUCCUCGGUGAUUUUCGGACACUCUACCUGAGGUCCGAAGAAUGACUUGUACAUCUCCUCGUGCGUCAGGCCGAGGAAAUUUUGAAUGACACACGGUCCUUCGGGAUUGAACUCCCACAAGCGAAGGGGCCGGCGUUUGCAAGGCUGGACUUGACGAACCAACAUAACUUGUAUUACCGCAACCAAACUAAAAUCUCCAUUGAAGAGAUCUCGAAUGCGGCUUUGCAGAAUAGGCACGUCCUUGGCUAGACCCCAGCUCAGACCUCUGUUGAUCCAUGACAUCAGUUGUGGUGGAGGGCUCGAGCGGAAAACAGGGGCGGCCGCCCACUUGGCACUUCUAGGAGCCGUGAUGUAGAACCACUCCUGUUGCCAUAAUUCAGACACCUUUGGAAUGGAACCUUUGGGCCAGGGGGCUCCCAUCAUCUUGCGUAUUGAGGCACCUCCGCACGCUGCAUGUUGCCCCUCGAUCAUCUUCGGCUUUACUUCAAAAGUCUUGAGCCACAGGCCAAAGUGAGGGGUAACCCGGAGGAAGGCCUCGCACACGACAAUAAAUGUCGUGAUAUGAAGAAAGGAGUCCGGAGCUAGAUCAUGGAAAUCUAGCCCGUAAUAAUACAUCAAACCCCUAACAAAAGGAUCCAGAGCAAGGCCUAGACCUCGGAGGAAGUGGGAGACGAACACAACGUUCUCGUUGGGUUCGGGGGAGGGGACGGCCUGCCCUCGAGUGGGCAGCCGAUGCAAAACCUCGGCGGUCAGAUAUCUGGCCUCCCUCAACUUUUUUAUAUCUUCUUCCGUGACGGAGGAAGGCAUCCAUCGGCCUUGAAGGCUAGAUCCGGACAUGAUUGAGGGUUCGGAGCACCUGACCUGAACCUUGGGUGUUUGAACUUGAGGUGGGGGAAGGAUUCGAUUGAGCACGGGAGGGAAAAAAUAAAAACCUUGUCCCUUUAUAAAGAGGGUGAAUAUCAAGUGUCCUCUCCGUGGCCGUUUGGACUUGCCUAUAGUCUAGGAGUCCUAGAAGCGGUUGGGUUACCCAUGCCCGUAUUGAUGAGAAUCCCAUAAUAAGAGGACACGAUCUCUGCUUUAACAAGACGUGCCAGGGAAACCGCCUCGCAUAACACACUGAGAUGGGACAGUAAAACGAUUCGAAUAAAGGCUUGGCCAUGGUGUGAUGUCACACUAUGGAAUACGCCAGCAGAUUAGAUUUGUGUAAAUAUUAUUCUCUCUAUCGCAAUAUGUGGAAACUUAUUUUGCAGAGCCAGACACUAUCUUUGUGUUCAAAAUCUUCUAUGAAGUGCUUGGAGGAGGAACCCGCCUUGCAAUGUCGAAGACAAUCUGCGCGCCGGACUCGUCGUCAUUGAGGCCUGGUUCAGGGGCUACUAAGGGAGUCCUGGAUUAGGUGGUGUCCGGAUGGCCAGACUAUACCUUCGGCCUGACUCCUGGACUAUGAAGAUACAAGAUUGAAGACUUCGUCCCGUGUCCGGAAGGGACUUUCCUUGGCGUGGAAGGCAAGCUUGGCGAUACGGAUAUGUAGAUCUCCUACCAUUGUAACUGACUCUAUGUAACCCUAACCCUAUCCGGUGUCUAUAUAAACCGGAGGGUUUUAGUCCGUAGGACAAAACAUUCAUACACAACAAUCAUACCAUAGGCUAGCUUCUAGGGUUUAGCCUCUCUGACCUGGUGGUAGAUCUACUCUUGUACUACCCAUAUCAUCAAUAUUAAUCAAGCAGGACGUAGGGUUUUACCUCCAUCGAGAGGGCCCGAACCUGGGUAAAACUUUGUGUCCCUUGCCUCCUGUUACCAUCCGGCCUAGACGCACAGUUCGGGACCCCCUACCCGAGAUCCGCCGGUUUUGACACCGACAACAGGCUUCACCGCAAGUCUGUAUAAAACUAUAUGCUUUGAUCAACUCAUCAAAGCAUAUAUUCCAACUCUGAGAUGCUUGCACCAGUCCAUAGAUGGAUCACUGGAGAUUGCACAUUUUGUUAACACCUUUAGGAUUGACAAAACCUUCUGGUUGCAUCAUAUACAACUCUUCUUUAAUAAAUCCAUUAAGGAAUGCAGUUUUGUUUAUCCAUUUGCCAUAUUUCAUAAAAUGCGGCAAUUGCUAACACGAUCCGGACAGACUUAAGCAUAGAUACGAGUGAGAAACUCUUAUCGUAGUCAACACCUUGAACUUGUCGAAAACCUUUUGCGACAAGUCGAGAUUUGUAGGAAGUAACAUUACCGUCAGCGUCAGUCUUCUUCUUGAAGAUCCAUUUAUUCUCAAUUGCUUGCCGAUCUUUGGGCAAGUCAACCAAAGUCCACACUUUGUUCUCAUACAUGGAUCCCAUCUCAGAUUUCACGGCUUCAAGCCAUUUUGCGGAAUUUGGGCUCAUCAUCGCUUCCUCAUAGUUCGUAGGUUCGUCAUGGUCAAGUAGCAUGACCUCCAGAACAAGAUUACCGUACCACUCUGGUGCGGAUCUCACUCUGGUUAACCUACGAGAUUCGGUAGUAACUUGAUCUGAAGUUACAUGAUCAUCAUCAUUAGCUUCCUCACUAAUUGGUGUAGUAGUCACAGGAACAGAUUUCUGUGAUGAACUACUUUUCCAUAAGGGAGAAGGUACAAUUACCUUAUCAAGUUCUACUUUCCUCCCACUCACUUCUUUCGAGAGAAACUCCUUCUCUAGAAAGGAUCCAUUCUUAGCAACGAAUGUCUUGCCUUCAGAUCUGUGAUAGAAGGUGUACCCAACAGUCUCCUCUGGGUAUCCUAUGAAGACAUAUUUCUCCGAUUUGGGUUUGAGCUUAUCAGGAUGAAACCUUUUCAUAUAAGCAUCACAAUCCCAAACUUUAAGAAACGACAACUUUGGUUUCUUGCCAAACCAAAGUUCAGAUUGUGUCGUCUCAACGGACUUAGAUGGUGCCCUUUUAAACGUGAAUGCAGCUGUCUUUAAUGCAUAACCCCAAAACGAUGUUGGUAAAUCUGUAAGAAACAUCAUAGAUUGCACUAUAUCCAAUAAAGUACGGUUAUGACGUUCGAACACAUCAUUAUGCUGUGGUGUUCCAGGUGGCAUGAAUUUGUGAAACUAUUCCACAUAGUUUUAAUUGAAGACCAAACUCGUAACUCAAAUAUUUGUCUCCGCGAUCAGAUCGUAGAAACCUUAUUUUUCUUGUUACGAUGAUUUUCCACUUCACUCUGAAAUUCUUUGAACUUUUCAAAUGUUUCAGACUUAUGUUUCAUCAAGUAGAUAUACCCAUGUCUGCUCAAAUCAUAUGUGAAGGUCAUAAAAUAACGAUACCCGCCACGAGCUUCAACACUCAUCGGAUCACAUACAUCAGUAUGUAUUAUUUCCAAUAAGUCAGUUGCUUGCUCCAUUGUUCCGGAGAACGGAGUCUUUAGUCAUCUUGCCCAUAAGGCAUGGUUCGCAAGCACCAAGUGAUUCAUAAUCAAGUGAUUCCAAAAUCCCAUCAGCAUGAAGUUUUUUUAUGUGCUUUACACCAACAUGACCUAAACGGCAGUGCCACAAAUAAGUUGCACCAUCAUUAUUAACUUUGCAUCUUUUGGUUUCAAUAUUAUGAAUAUGUGUAUCACUACGAUUGAGAUCCAAUGAACCAUUUUCAUUGGGUGUGUAACCAUAUAAGGUUUUAUUCAUGUAAACAGAACAAAAAUUUAUUCUCUUACUUAAAUGAAUAACCGUAUUACAAUAAACAUGAUCAAAUCAUAUUCAUGCUCAACGCAAACACCAAAUAACACUUAUUUAGGUUCAACACUAAUCCCGAAAGUAUAGGGAGUGUGCGAUGAUGAUCAUAUCAAUCUUGGAACCACUUCCAACAUACAUCGUCACUUCACCCUUAACUAGUCUCUGUUUAUUCUGCAACUCCCAUUUCGAGUUACUAAUCUUAGCAACUGAACUAGUAUCAAAUACUGAGGGGUUGCUAUAAACACUACUAAAGUACACAUCAAUAACAUGUAUAUCAAAUAUUCUUAUGUUCACUUUGUCAUCCUUCUUAUCCGCCAAUCACUUGGGGUAGUUCCACUUUGAGUGACCAGUCCCUUUGCAGUACGAGCACUUAGUCUCAGGCUUAGGACCAGACUUGGGCUUCUUCACUUGAGCAGAAACUUGCUUGCUGUUCUUCUUGAAGUUCCCCUUUAUUUUCUUUUGCCCUUUUCUUGAAACUAGUGAUCUUGUCAACCAUCAACACUUGAUGCUCUUUCUUGAUUUCUACCUUCAUCGAUUUCAUCAUCAUGAAAAGAUCGGGAGUCGUUUUCGUCAUCCCUUGCAUACUAUAGUUCAUCACGAAGUUCUACUAACUUGGUGAUGGUGACUAGAGAAUUCUAUCAAUCACUAUUUUAUCUGGAAGAUUAACUCCCACUUGAUUCAAGUGAUUGUAGCACCCAGACAAUGUGAGCACAUGCUCACUAGUUGAGCGAUUCUCCUCCAUCUUUUAGCUAUAGAACUUGUUUGAGACUUCAUAUCUCUCAACUCGGGUAUUUGCUUGAAAUAUUAACUUCAACUCCUGGAACAUCUCAUAUGGUCCAUGACGUUCAAAACGUCUUUGAAGUCCCAAUUCUAAGCCAUUAAGCAUGGUGCACUAAACUAUCAAGUAGUCAUCAUAUUGAGCUAGGCAAACGUUCAUAACGUCUGCAUCUGCUCCUGCAAUAGGUCUGUCACCUAGCGGUGCAUCAAGGACAUAAUUCUUCUAUGCAGCAAUGAGGAUAAACCUCAGAUCACGGAUCCAAUCCGCAUCAUUGCUACUAACAUCUUUCAACACAAUUUUCUCUAGGAACAUAUCAAAAUAAACACAGGGAAGCAACAACGCGAGCUAUUGAUCUACAACAUAAUUUGCAAAAUACUACCAGGACUAAGUUCAUGAUAAAUUUAAGUUCAAUUAAUCAUAUUACUUAAGAACUCCCACUUAGAUAGACAUCCAUCUAAUCCUCUAAGUGAUCACGUGAUCCAAAUCAACUAAACCAUGUCCGAUCAUCACAUGAGAUGGAGUAGUUUCAUUGGUGAACAUCACUAUGUUGAUCAUAUCUACUAUAUGAUUCACGCUCAACCUUUCGGUCUCCGUGUUCCGGGGCCAUAUUUGUAUAUGCUUGGCUCGUCAAGUUUAACCUGAGUAUUCCACGUGUGCAACUGUUUUGCACCCGUUGUAUUUGAACGUAGAGCCUAUCACACCCGAUCAUCACGUGGUGUCUCAGCACGAAGAACUUUCGCAAUGGUGCAUACUCAGGGAGAACACUUCUUGAUAAUUAGUGAGAGAUCAUCUUAAAAUGCUACCGUCAAACUAAGCUAAAUAAGAUGUAUAAAAGAUAAACAUCAUAUGCAAUCAAAAUAUGUGACAUGAUAUGGUCAUCAUCAUCUUGUGCCUUUGAUCUCCAUCUCCAAAGUACUGUCAUGAUCUCUAUCGUCACCGGCAUGACACCAUGAUCUCCAUCAUCUUGAUCUAUAUCAAUGUGUCGUCACGUGGUCGUCUCGCCAACAAUUGCUCUUGCAACUAUUGCUAUCGCAUAGCGAUAAAGUAAAGCAAUUAUUGGGCGCUUGCAUCUUAUGCAAUAGAGAGACAACCAUAAGGAUUUUGCCAGUUGCUGAUAACUUCAACAAAACAUGAUCAUCUCAUACAACAACUUAUAUCUCAUCACGUCUUGACCAUAUCACAUCACAACAUGCCCUGCAAAAACAAGUUAGACGUCCUCUACUUUGUUUGUUGCAAGUUUUACGUGGCUGCUACGGGCUUAAGCAAGAACCAAUCUUACCCUCGCAUCAAAAACCACAACGAUAGUUUGUCAAGUUGGUGUUGUUUUAACCUUCGCAAGGACCGGGCGUAGCCACACUCGGUUCAACUAAAGUUGGAGAAACUGACACCUGCCAGCCACCUGUGUGCAAAGCACGUCGGUAGAACCAGUCUCGCAUAAGCGUACGCGUAAUGUCGGCCCGGGCCGCUUCAUCCAACAAUACCGCCGAACCAAAGUAUGACAUGCUGGUAAGCAGUAUGACCUAUAUCGCCCAUAACUCACUUGUGUUCUACUCGUGCACAACAUCAACGCAUAAAACCUAGGCUCUGAUACCACUGUUGGGGAACGUAGUAAUUUCAAAAAAAUUCCUACGCACACGCAAGAUCAUGGUGAUGCAUAGCAACGAGAGGGGAGAGUGUUGUCUACGUACCCUCGUAGACCGACAGCGGAAGCGUUAUGACAACGCGGUUGAUGUAGUCGUACGUCUUCACGGCUUGAUCGAUCAAGCAUCGAAACUACAGCAUCUCCGAGUUCUAGCACACGUUCAGCUCGAUGACGAUCCCCGGACUCCGAUCCAGCAAAGUGUCGGGGAAGAGUUCCAUCAGCACGACGGCGUGGUGACUAUCUUGAUGUUCUACCAUCGCAGGGCUUCGCCUAAGCACCGCUACAAUAUUAUCGAGGAGUUCUCCUCCUAGUAGGAGUAGGACUCCCCUCUUUCCUACUCCUACUAGGAGGGGGAAAGGAAAGGGAAGAGGGAGAAGGAAAGGGGGGCGCCCCCCCCCUCUCCUAGUCCAAUUCGGACCAGAGGGGGAAGGGGCACGCGGCCCACCCUGGCCCAUAAAGCCCAUUACUUCUCCCGGGGGGGUUCCGGUAACCCUCCGGCACUCCGGUUUUCUCCGAAAUCACCCGGAACACUCCCGGUGUCCGAAUAUAGCCGUCCAAUAUAUCAAUAUUUAUGUCUCGACCAUUUCGAGACUCCUCGUCAUGUCCGUGAUCACAUCCGGGACUCCAAAAAAACUUCGGUACAUCAAAAUAUAUAAACUCAUAAUGAAACUGUCAUCGUACCGUUAAGCUUGCGGACCCUACGGGUUCGAGAACAAUGUAGACAUGACCCAGACAUGUCUCCGGUCAAUAACCAAUAGCGGAACUUGGAUGCUCAUAUUGGCUCCCACAUAUUCUACGAAGAUCUUUUAUCGGUCAGACCGCAUAACAACAUACUUUGUUCCCUUUGUCAUCGGUAUGUUACUUGCCCGAGAUUCGAUCGUCGGUAUCUCAAUACCUAGUUCAAUCUCGUUACCGGCAAGUCUCUUUACUCGUUUCGUAAUACAUCAUCUCACAACUAACUCAUUAGUUGCAAUGCUUGCAAGGCUUAUGUGAUGUGCAUUACCGAGAGGGCCCAGAGAUACCUCUCCGACAAUCGGAGUGACAAAUCCUAAUCUCGAAAUACGCCAACCCAACAUGUACCUUUGGAGACACCUGUAGAGCUCCUUUAUAAUCACCCAGUUACGUUGUGACGUUUGGUAGCACACAAAGUGUUCCUCCGGCAAACGGGAGUUGCAUAAUCUCAUAGUCAUAGGAACAUGUAUAAGUCAUGAAGAAAGCAAUAGCAACAUACUAAAUGAUCUGGUGCUAAGCUAAUGGAAUGGGUCAUGUCAAUCACAUCAUUCUCCUAAUGAUGUGAUCCCGUUAAUCAAAUGACAACUCAUGUCUAUGGCUAGGAAACAUAACCAUCUUUGAUCAACAGGCUAGUCAAGUAGAGGCAUACUAGUGACACUCUGUUUGUCUAUGUAUUCACACAUGUAUUAUGUUUCCGGUUAAUACAAUUCUAGCAUGAAUAAUAAACAUUUAUCAUGAUAUAAGGAAAUAAAUAAUAACUUUAUUAUUGCCUCUAGGGCAUAUUUCCUUUAGCCGCCCCUUCCGGCUUGGGGGGGCAAGUUUUUUAGGGGUGGGGGCGCCCAAACCCAUCUAGGGUUUCCCCUGUGGCCGCCACCCCUACCCUAAGGAAACCGUAGGGCACCUCCUCCUCCCCCCUUCCCCCUAUACAUAGUGAGGGAGAGAGGGGGCAGUGGCACCCCUUCACUGGCGCAGCCCCUCCCUCCUCUAACACCUCCUCCUCUGUAGUGCUUAGCGAAGCUCUGCCGGAGAACCACGAGCUCCACCACCACCACGCCGUCGUGCUGUCGGAGUUCUCCCUCAAACUUCUCCUCUCCCCCUGCUAGAUCAAGAAGGAGGAGACGUCCCCGGGCUGUACGUGUGUUGAACGCGGAGGCGCCGUCUGUUCGGCACUUGGUCGGAUCUUCCGCGAUUUGAAUCGCGGGGAGUACGACUCCAUCAACCGCUUUCUUGUAACGCUUCCGCUUAGCAAUCUUCAAGGGUAUGAAGAUGCACUCCCUCUCUCUCGUUGCUAGCAUCUCCUAGAUUGAUCUUGGUGACACGUAGGAAUUUUUUUGAAUUAUUACUACGCUCGCCAACAGCACAUCGUCGGUGCCGUCGUAGAGAACGACGAUGCCUCCCUCGUCGCCGCUACGGCACCGAGCGGCGAUCUCCUCUAGGGCGCGGCGUUGGUGCUCCAGCCGCGCCCACUUCAUGGCCGCGGCAUCGUCGAACCCCGCCUCCGUCUUGACAGCGGCAAGCCCCGUCUCCCUCUUCGGUUCAACGAGGCAGGGAGGAGCCGAGGAGGAGGCCCGCCCGCCCUUGUCUCCGCGGGCUUGGCCUUGACGUUGUACAACACCAAUGAGCAGGAGGAGUGGGAGGAGGAGGAAGAGGAGCCGGUCCUCCUUGGCAUCCAUUGUCCGCUUCUCCGGCGGGGGGCCAGGGUGGCAGGGUACGUGAACGGCGGCUCGUUGCCGCCCUCGAGGUGCUCGAGGACGGCGUGGAGCGUGCGACCAGGGGCGCCCCACCACAGGUGACGGUCGUCGCUGUUCUUUGUCCCCCGCACCACCGGGUGGAGGCUAGCAGCUCCGCCUGCCGGCGCUCGGAGUAGGCCGUUACACCUGGUGUUUGCCUGCGGCGUACUCCAGGCGGGCCCGCUGCUCCUCUGCCAGCGACGCCCACACAUGCUCGACCUCGGGGUUGAAGUAGUCGGGCCGCGUGACGUCGGGCAACAGGGGCACAGCGACGCCCCCGGUGCUGAGCCUCCACCGCCCCGGCGCGUUCAUGUCGGGAGGCGCCGAGAUGUCCGCUUCAUGGAGGAUGUGGGCCUCUCACUCGUGCAGCGAGCGGCGGCCGAAGCCAUUGGCCGCCGCCCGGUGCCCGGGAAACCUCCCGCCAAUCGUUUGUGGCGGCGGAAAGAGAACGGCGGCGGCGACUGUGCAUGGGAAGAGAGAGGGGGGUUGCGGGUCGGUGGUGUGUCUCCGGCGAGGGAGGUGCUGCUUUAUAUAGAGGCGCGGGGGGGAGGGCUACGUCUUGUGUAUGCGUAGCGGGAGGGGGCGCGUCGCCACACCGCGCCGCCCGUGAGGAAUCAAUGGAAGGCUGACCGGCGGUAGCCUUGGCUUUGAUUUCCCGCAGGAAACGAGGUGUUGUGAGGACAACGAGUCGUAGGUCGCUGAAUCGGCGGGCCCGCCGUUCGUUCGCGCCAAAAUCAAUUGCCCCAGCGCCCCAGCGCGUCGGAUUCGGCAUGGGUCCGCCGGCGUCAGUUCCAGACCAAACAGACAAAAAAUGAGUCACUGUAGCGCCCUGUAGAGGCCACGUAGACAGUCUUGUCUUUCACUGUCCAAAAUAUUAUAGCAGCACCUUAGACCUUGUCACUGGGAAAAGAAAUUAAAACCUGGGGCUCGGUCGAUCGGCCGGGAUGCAACGGCAGAUAGCGCGCUGGCUAGAUCGACCUUGUCCUUUUUAAUGGUCAACGACUCUGUCUAGAUUCGAUGUAGUGUUAUUUUAAAUCUGGAACAAGGAUAUAUAUAUAUAGGAAAAUAGGUUAGUACUCCUAGGAGUAUGUACUCCUACGCCAGGUGUCGCUAGUUUCUUCAAUGCCCUGCCGCACCACUUAUUGCCUUUAUUGUUUUUAUUAAUUAAAAAACCUCGGAUAAUAUCGCAUGCAAACUUGCGGCUCAGAAUUUGUUUGCAUGUCCGUGCUAACCGGGAUUUGGGUGACUGGCUUUAUCUUGCUAGAAUAACGAACCGAUCUAUUAGGAAAAUAUAUAAGCUCCUACCUGGAAAAAAAGGCGACGGAGGCGGAGGCGCUGAGAUGCGGUGCGGCUGGACGACCAACAAUGAAACCAGUGAUCCGGCAUGCAUCUGCUUCCAAUUGGCAUCAACCACGACAAGGUAUGCAUGCAUGUACGAUUGGAUUACAUGCAUCGUUGAUUCCCUCUGUAAUUGGCAUUGUGUUAAUUUACAUAGCCUGCAUGUUUGAUAUGCAGCUCACCUGGAUCGGAAUCCCUGCGAGAUGGGUUACGCGGACCGGCGGCAUGUCUUCUCCAUGCAUGCUUGAUCUAGAUGACGCUCUACUACACAAGAUUUGCUUCAGCUCAACGGGAUCGGUUGGCCAUCCGUUGUCCCCACAAGUACAAGGCAAAGUAACUCAGUUUUCUCUUGACGUCGCUGCGGCUACACGUACACGAUGCAAGAGACUCUGCCGACCGAAGAUCCGCAACAUUUUGAUUAGAUCGAUUGAUUCAGUAUGACCGAUCCAUCACUAAACAUGCAAAAACCAAGAGAAACACGACACUGAUGCUUCUGAUGUGAUGUCUAUAAACAGUUUGAGUCUUGUGUUAUUUGACUAUUUGAGUGGACAAAACCAAUACUUAACCCAGAUUAUACUGCCCACGCAAAAAAACUCUUUUCUGUUUAUACUUCUUUUUGAAUAAUUAUACUGGUUUGUAGAGUGGUAUAUGCCGCAUCAUGAAAAUAUGGUAUAUGCUCCAUCCAAAACGUUGGUAUAACUUAACACAAAAAAAGUGGUAUAUGCUACAUCGAAAAUGUUGGUAUAUACUCAUCAUCACAAAAAAUAUGGUACAAAGUCCACCGCAAGGAACCAGUAUAUACUCCAUUGAAAAAUUAAUAAGUGGUACAUAUCCCAUUCACAAAAAAUAAGGUGCACAGACUACCGCAAGGAAGGAGUAUAUACUCCAUUGAAAAAGAAAAUAACUGGUAUAUACUCCAUUGAGGAAAGGCUAUUAUCCGUCACAAAGUAAAUACUACAUUACAAGAGCAAUAUAUAUGACCUCCUAGAAAUGAAUAAAUGAAACAAAAGAACAUUUACCACACUUACGUACUCUCUAGCUAGUUCCCUUGGAGUAUAUGCUACGUGGACAUUGUGUAUGGAUGAGGUAUGUGGUAUGACGUGAAGGUUUACAAUGCGAGCACCCAAUUAUAAUCCCUUAAUUAUAGGAUCAAGCAACUGCAUGCACACACCAGCCAUUGCAUGCAUCGGUUUCUCUUUCUUUAUCCGGUAGUUAGCUAUUGGAUAAUGAGUGGGAGCAUAUAUUCUGUACGUCCGCCGAGGUCGAGUUGACAUUUGUACACGAUUUGUUUACUUUUUCUUGUCUCAAAUAUUUGUCUUUUUAGGAAUUUUAAAUAAACUAUCACAUAGGGAUGUAUAUAGAUAUAUUUUAGAGUGUAGAUUUACUCAUUUUAUUUCGUAUGUAGUCAUUUGUUGAAAUUUCUAGAAAAACAAAUAUCUAGGAACGGAGGGAGUACUAGAUUUCAGUAUAAGCAUAGAGUAGUGCUCGAUCGAGAUCUUUUGUAUUGUUCCUUUUGCCCAGCAGAGCGCCCGGUUUAGUGAACGCUCCACCAACUAAUUUAUAUAGGGAAAAAAAGAACGCUCCACCACCUACGGUCCUGAGCCGGGCAACACUGUUUCGCAUCUUCAUCAUGAAUAAAAUGUUCGUAGAAAAGUCGAGCUACGUCAUGCAUCGUUAGAUUUCCGUUCUGCUGGACGUACGUAGCACUAUUAUAACACUGUCAUGUGGGCCACCCCAGACUGCCGGCCAAAACACAAAGUCAAGCUGUGUCAUGGAAAAAACAGGCUUUAGAUCCAUUUUCUCUUCUUCUUUUUUAGUACAAACAGCUCAGUUUGUAACGAGUAAUCGGCCACGUCGCUGUUUCGCUUCCCUUCCCCCUCCGGCCAUCUGCCACCCACCGUUGACGUCGUCGCGCGAGAACCACAUAAGACUUUGACUUUCUUGCCGCCAUGCGUGUCCUCUCUUCCUAUUGUUGUCCUUGCACGCCUGCUCUGCCCGCCACAUCUCUGUUCGUCGCUCGUCGCCGUGCCGUGGCCGCACGUUCGCUUCGGCCGGCGUUCUUUGCGGCGUUGGACACCGGCAGCAACUUCUUCAGGGUGUCCUGCGAGUGUAAACAGUGUGCGCCCUCCACGAGCAAUGUACUAGUCAUAUAACCUGGCCUGUUUUGGUUGAUAGUCCCUCCGUCCCAUAAUAUAAGAGUGUUUUUUACAUGAAUAAAACGCUUUUAUAUUAUGAGAAAGAGGGAGUAGUUCUUUGGCACCUUUGGAUGGGCCUGCCGCGGCUGGAUUGAUUUUCAGGGAUCAAAUCAUGAUGGUCUAGUACCAUUUGCUGCCUAUCACGUUCUCUGCAUUUGUAAUGAUGCUUUGGAAACUGAGGUCCAUGCUCUCCGGUGCUCUCCAACGCUUGAGCUGUCGACCACUGUCUAAUAAACCUCUUGAUAAGCUCUAGCCAUCUUCUCCAACAACAACCUUUCUAAGUCAGUUUAUGGUCACUCGAUGGCUGAAAUCAGGACUCAAGCUCAAACGGGAUUGGAAUAGGGUAGCCCAUCAAUUGGUAUUCUAUAGCCGGACAGAGGGAGGGCGUGUACUGUUGUUUGGCUACUUCAUGCGCCAUGCAUCGUUGUUUUCGUGCCUCUUUAUUGUAACCCCAUUGUAAUGGAAUAAAAGUCCAAUUUCCCCUAGAAAAGAAAACGCAACGAUUGCAUCAAAGUUAAACAUGCUCUAUGGGUGCCAUCUAUAUGCUAAUAUGCACUACAUUAUGUGAGUACACAGGUUCCAUCUAUGUACAGUAUUGCCAUACUUUAGACUAGAGGGGGCUUCUUUUUCAUAGAUCAUAUUACUCUCUAGCACCUACUAGGCCGGAGUAAAUCAGGUGCUUGGCCGGUGAAUGUCCAUUGUCCUGCUCGCACUGCAUCGACCAGGAGACUUGGCCGAUCAAGGAGCCAUUCAACAAGCAGCUGUAUACUCUAUGCGCAUAGUUACAUAUACUCUAGAUACUGCACUAUUUUGUUGGCUUGCUACCUAGUAGAUCGGGCCUCGUUGUUUUCCAAGGUCAACUCGUCUGUCUAGAUUCGAUCAAAUCAUUUCUUUUUGGCUGGAACCAGGAUGCACCGUACCUACAUAUCCUCUGUCCGUGCAACCUGUUGACAUUCGUACACGAUUCAUCUUUCUAUCUACUGUACUAUCUAUCCUCUCCCAUGGCUAGAUUCGCUCUGCCCAUUAGUGCAUACUCGUAGUACGUACGUGUGCAGCUGCGUUCCACGACGAGCUCACAACAAAUUUACAUUGCCUCUUGUGCAGAACAAAGAAACGGCCCUGCUACGUUUUUCUUUAAAUUUGUAUGCCCAGCAGAGCACCGGGAAGGUUCAGUCAACUCUUCCAACCACGUACAGCUCUGAACCGGACAACAAUGGAGGGACGUCACGCGGUGAUGUGGGCCAUCCCCAAGCCACAAAGGAACAAAAGUCAAGUCUUCUCAUGGAAAAAGAAGCAGGCCGGCACUGUCGAACACUUGAGGAGUUCCCGGACUCGGCCACGUCGGCCGGUCCAGCCGCGUCGCCGCUCCCCUGCCCGCUCCGGCCAUCCGCCACCCACCGUUGACGUCGCGCCGGGUAAACCACACAAGACUUUGACUUUCUCGCCGCCAUGCGCGUCCCCCUCUCUUGCUCUUAAGCCCCGUGCACCAACCGUGCUCCGUCCUAUUGCCGUCCCCGCACGCCUACUCUGCUCACCACCAUGGCCCGCUCCACCUGUCUGUCGCUCGUCACCGUCGCCAUGGCCGUGGCCGUGGUCGCGGAGCUCGCUGCUGCCGGCGAGGCGUCUUCCGGGAUCGGGUUCGACCUGCACCACCGGUCCUCGCCCGUGGUGAGGCGGUGGGCGGAGGCGCGCGGCCACGCGUGGUGGGCCGAGGCCGAGGGCACGCCGGAGUACUACGCCGCGCUGUCCCGCCACGACCGCGCCCACCUCGCCCGCCGCGGGCUGGCCGAGGGCGACGCGAAGGGGCUGCUCAACUUCGCCAGCGGCAACCUCACAUUCCGGCUGGAGGGGUCGCUGCACUACGCGGAGGUGGCCGUGGGCACGCCCAACGCGACGUUCCUGGUGGCGCUGGACACCGGCAGCGACCUCUUCUGGGUGCCCUGCGACUGCAAGCAGUGCGCGCCCAUCGCCAACGCCUCGGAGCUGCGCGGCGGGCCGGAGCUCCGCCCGUACAGCCCGGGCAAGUCGUCGACGAGCAAGGCCGUGACCUGCGAGCACGCGCUCUGCGAGCGGCCCAACGCGUGCGCCGCCAACAACAGCACCAGCUGCCCGUACACCGUGAGGUACGUCUCCGCCAACACCUCCUCCUCCGGGGUGCUGGUGGAGGACGUGCUCCACCUCAGCCGGGAGGAGGCCGGGGGCGCGUCUUCGACGGCGGUGAAGGCGCCCGUGGUGCUCGGGUGCGGGCAGGUGCAGACGGGCGCGUUCCUGGACGGCGCCGCCGUGGACGGCCUGCUGGGGCUCGGCAUGGACAAGGUGUCCGUGCCCAGCGUGCUGGCCGCCGCCGGCCUCGUCGCCUCCGACAGCUUCUCCAUGUGCUUCAGCCCCGACGGCCUCGGCCGCAUCAACUUCGGCGACGCCGGCCGCCGCGGCCAGGCCGAGACGCCCUUCACCGUCCGGAACACGCAGUAAGUAGUUAAUUAGGCGCUCUAUCACUAGCAGGACACCGACACGUGGGUCCCACAUGUCAGUGCAGGCCGAAAAGUCAAAAGGGUUGACUGAUCGGCGACUUUUCUUGUCCGUGCAGCCCGACGUACAACAUCAGCGUGGCGGCGAUGACCGUGGAGGGGAAGGAGCUGGCGGCGGAGUUCGCCGCCGUCGUCGACUCCGGCACGUCCUUCACGUACCUCAACGACCCGGCGUACACGGAGCUGGCCACCAGCUUCGACUCCCAGGUGCGCGAGAAGAGGGCCAACCUCAGCGCCUCCAUCCCGUUCGAGUACUGCUACCAGCUGGCCCGCGGGCAGACGGAGCUGUUCGUGCCGGAGGUGAGCCUGACCACCAGGGGCGGGGCCGUGUUCCCGGUCACCCGCCCCUUCGUGCUCAUCGCCGGCGAGACCAGCGACGGCCAGAUGGUCGCCGUCGGAUACUGCCUCGCCGUGCUCAAGAACGACAUCACCAUCGACAUCAUCGGCCGUACGCGCACUGCACACUUGUUCUCUUCGGUUAAUUCCUUCAUCGUUCCGUUGCUGAUUGCUGAUUACUUCAUCACCGAUAAAACAUGCAGAGAACUUCAUGACCGGCCUCAAGGUGGUGUUCGACCGGGAGAGGUCCGUCCUCGGCUGGCACGAGUUCGACUGUAAGCUCACAAUCAUUCUCCAUGAAUUGUAUGUAUACCUGAUGAAUGAAUUGUGCUGUAUAUGGAUCAUUGGUUGAUUGUCCCAACUAAAUUAACUGCAGGUUACAAGGACGUGGAGACAGAGGGCCACGGCGGGAGCCCCGGCGCGGCUCCGGGGCCGUCGCCGACGACCCGUAUCAAGCCGCGGCAGAGCGAGACGACGCCGUACCCCGGCGCGGUGCCGGUGACGCCGAGGCAGGCCGGCUCAGGCGGCAGCCGCCUCUCCUUCUCCCUGGCGCUGCUGCUUCCCCUGCUGGCUUACGCCGCGGCCGUGGUCUGACAUGAUCGGCGCGGGAGAAGUGGUGUACAUACAUACAUACAAAUUAGUAGUCGAAUUCAGAAUUUUGAUACAGAUUCAUAUACUAGCUUUUUUUUUUGAGAAUUUUUUUUUUCAUAUACUAGCUAGGUCGAUCAUUUAUAGGUUCGGUUUUGCUGAUUGGUUUGUAGUGAGGAAGCCCAUGUGUACAUGCGGCGUGUCACAUGCAGAUGCGAAUAAAAACAUACAGAUGCACUCCUUCUGUGUACAAAUGUCACUCUUUCCUUUUUCUUUUUGAGGGGACAUCUAGGAAUCUCGACAGUGUUCUUCUGCAGGUCCCGAACUCACAUGCAAACGGGUGAGCAGUAAAAUCCAAAAAAAAGUAAAAUAAAUUUAAAUAAAAACUGAUUUUUUGGCAACACAAGCAUUGAUGAGUGCUUCAUCUGCAUGCAAAAUUUCGUGAUGGAAUGACAUUUGUGGAGGUCUGAAAAAAAAUUGAUGCUCCAAAAUGAUCAUGUUUUUCCUGUUCUCAACGAAUGUCAUUCCAUCAGAAAAAAAUUGUACGCUGGUAAAACAGUCAUCAAUGUUUAUCACAAAGAGAUCGGAUUUUUCUUUUUGGAUUUUACCGUUCAUACAGGUGCAUUUGAGCUCGCUAUCAGACAAUUUUUUUUGGAUUUUUUCUUCUGGAGCGUGUUUUUGGUGUGCUUCAAUCUCGAUAGGCCAUAGUUCGACACCCUGGACUGACAUGGAGCACCGACAAGCUUUUGGAGGUGAUGACUGUUUGUGUGAUCAUGCAUAACAUGAUCGUGGAGGAUGAGCGUGAUGACAUCAUCUAUGACCAAGGGUUCCAACUACAGGGUGAAAUUGUUGGGCCUGAGCACCAAGAACCGAUAACGUUUGAACAAUUCAUCAAAUUUCAUCAUGAAAUGCGUGAUUGGCAAACAGAUAUGCAACUUCAAGAUUACUUGGUUGAGCACAUGUAGACUCACCUUGGCAACCAGUAGAUGUAUUGGUUCAUUUUCUUUCGAUGUAUUCGUGACAUUUUAAAUUUGGUUGUAAACUUUGUGAUUUUUAUUUUGUUGUGAAACUAUUUAUUAUUAUGGUACUAUGUGAUUUAUUUGGUGGUAAAACUAUAUGAUAUGUUUCUUUUUAGUUAAACGAAUGUCUACAUUUGCACGCCGGCCAUCCGACGGACCAAAUGCGCUGGUCGUGUUGGGCCCACUGGCAAUGCAACCACAAAAGAGGACGGAUGCCGCCUCUGUGCCCAACCUAAAUAGACAGAGUCCCGACAAAAAGGACAUCCAUUUGCGGUUGCACGUUAGAGUUAGCCUUGGAUGCUCUAUCAACGAGCCGAGAGAGUUUCUGCAUCAUCCAUGCCCGGAUUACAUGCAUCCAGCCAUCCAGGCAAAAAGAUAGGUUUGUAUACAGCCAUCUUAUGGUUUAUUUUCCCUAACCAUUUUAUGGUUUAUUUUCCAAGCAACUAGUUUAUUUUUAGUUUUUAUUUUAGACUUUACAUGUGCACCUGUUGCACAACCUGGAAAACAUUCGAAUAUGAGCCUUAGAAGUAGUAAAAAAGGGUAAAAAUAUCAGGAUUUUUUUAAUAAAGACCAAUAAAAGAAACGGUAAAAAAAGGUUUGUAUACAACCAUUUUAUGCUUUAUUCAGGCAACUAGUUUAUUUUUUAUUUUAGACUUUACAUGUGCACCUGUUGCACAACCUGCAAAACAUUCAAAUAUGAGCCUUAGAAGUAGUAAAAAAGGGAAAAACAUUACAUGUGCAGCUGUUGCACAACCUGCAAAAUAUUCAAAUAUGAGCCUUAGAAGUAGUAAAAAAAGGAAAAACCAAUAGGGAAAUAGAAAUAUUAUAAAACAAUAAUAGAAAUGGCUAAAAAAAGACUAACAUCGCACCGUACUUCUACCCCCCCUUUAUUUCCUUCGCCUUUUAUUUUAUCCUUUUGGUAUUAAUUUAUCCCUUUUUCAAAAAAAAAAAAUUCAAAUUCUGUAUUUUCUUCAUGAUUUCAUAAAAAAAUCAUGGUUUUUAAAUUUUGUUCACAAUUCAAAAUUUGUUCAGCCUACAUUACAUAAAUGUUAAAUAUAUAUUUUAAAUUUGUUUGGCAUAUAUCACAAAAAUGCUCACUAUGUAUUUCAAAUUUUCCAGUGGAUAAUACAAAAAUGUUCAAUGUAUAUUUUAAAAAAUUGUUCAUCUUUUUUGGAAUUUCGAAUUUUUUGUUCAACUUUUCAAUAAUUGUUCACUUUUGAAAAGUUUGUUCGAAUUUAAAAAAUUGUUCACGGUUUCAAAUAGUUUUGGCGUUUUUAUUCAGAAUUUUAUAUAUUUUGUUCUCAAUUUACGAGAAUUAUUCAAAAAAAAAUUGAAAGUUGUCCGGUACUUUAAAUUCUCCUGCUGCUUGUGAACCAGUACAUCUUAUCAGAUUGACUUGCUGGGUUGUAGAAUUACUUGGCGGGAUGUCACCGGUUUGAUCUCUCUCGUUGGCGCGGUGUAUUUUUGGUGAAUUUUUUACGCGCUCGGUCUCCUGACCUCUAAAUGGGCCGGCCCAUCUGUAUCUACCUUCAGCGAAAGCUCCUUUACUUGACGCUAGCGAGCGUCAGACAGGAGCUCUCGCAAUAAUCCUACACAUACGAGGGUUUUACGCGUCUGUUACACAUACGAGGGUAUACCAGGCAUGCCAUGGCCCAGGUACGUACCAUGGCGGUGCCACGGUGCAAAGUUUCAGUCAAUUAUGAAACACGCCGGUUGACUAAUUAACUCGUCUAGGCUAAAGACAGGAUCUAAGUAAUAAUAGUAUUACAGAAAAUUUACCACUACUCUCUUUGCAAAAUAAUUAGCGUUUAGGUUCGCACUUCAGCCGAGAUUGAUUAUGUUCUUUCGAAAUGAUUGUUUUAACAUGUACUCCAAUCGUCGAAAAAGCUUGUCUCUCAAAUGGAUGUAUCUAGCAUCAAGUUAGUGCUAGAUACAUCCAUUUGAGAAACAAGUCUAAAACAACAUUUUUUGAAUGGAGGGAGUAAGAUUGUUAACGAUAAUCAGUCGCCAUGGAAUAAUACGACCCGCGACCUUCUCUCCGGUCAUCAAAAUAAUCCUAUACGACCUGGGCCGUACGCACCCAAUCUGGAGACCCACCUCCCCCACUUGACACCUGUCAAAACGAAUCUCAAAGCGCACCAUCGUUUCCAACUUGCAGCCCACUCCGAUUCCCACGUUCUCGUCUCUUUACAUCUCGUCGGCGACGGCACAGAUCCGGAUCGAGGAGCAUACGCAGCAGUCAGCAGCCUCUCCACCGGAUCCUCUCUGCCCGUAGCUGGCUCCUCCACACCGACGGGAACGGGGACAAGCAGUUGUGCGAUGCUCGAGCUGGGACGCCGACGAGGAUUGGAGCACCACGAGAAAGGGAUUUGCCACCAGCCUCAAAGAGCAUAUCUGUGGCUGGAUGUGGUGACUAGAUAGGGCGAGGACGCGAGCUGGGCAUCGAGGAGCGUCGCCGUUUCCGGCGAGCUUCGCCGUUGCCGGCGAUGAUGGCGUCGACGAGCGCAUCGGCAGCGAUGUGGCGAGAGAUUCGGCAAAGGGAUACGAUGGGAAGAAGGCUGCUGCUUUGAGAUUUGGUUUUGCCAGCUGUCACAUUUAGAAGUGGGUCUCGGAUGCUGGAAUUUUGCUAGUAGGCCUUUGGCCCAAAGCCCAACUAAAAUUCUGAAAUUCUCUUGGCCCAUUCAUGCACACAUGUGAGUGGAGUGAGUGAGGCUAAAGUUUAGUCCACCCCGGAAGUUGAGAGAGAGUGGCACCUCUUUAUAAGGUGAGCUUUUCUACCACUUGUAUGAGCAUGAGAAGAGGAGACCUACACGCGCGCUCCUCCUCCUCGCUCGCCGCGCCGCGCCGCGGGUUGCGGGAUUGAGCCGAGCCGAGGACAGAGCUAUGCACGUUGUCUAUAUUUUUGCUGCAUGAGAAAAUUAAUGAGUCAUUAAUUAAUAAUUAACGGACGCGUUAAUUACUGAACCGUUUCCGAUUCUUUUGGAUCGUGACGACUCGGACAUGGGGUUUACUCCCACGACCUACCCGGCCGCCGCCGCUUCGUAUGGUUUCUCACCACCGUUCCAGAUCAUUGCACCGCCAAGCAAGUCUUCUCCAUCCCUCCUUUCGGCGUGCACCGCGAGAAGGGACAGCAGGCCUCCGGAACCCCGCCUCUCGUGAUCCUGUAUGGGAGAGGGGCGAUCACGUUUUCGGGGAGCGCACUCGCGCGACUGCUGGCAGCGAUGACUUCGCGAACGACGACUUCUUCCCCGACCUCGGCAACCUCGUCCUCGACGACAUGGGCGACAACGUCAACGCCGGCGGUGCUGCACCCGCUGCAUCGUAUGUGAUUCUAUCCUUCCUGUUCGAGAUCAUGGUAGAAUUCAUGCUUCUAGUAUGUGCCCU
rnacentral:lncRNA from 1 species